CUACCCAAGGGUAGGGGUAAGGUCUGCGUACACACUACCCUCCCAGACCCCACUAAGUGGGAUUAUACUGGGUUGUUGUUGUUGUUGUUGUUGGGUUUAUGCGUUUUACCAACUUAUGUGAAUAUAAUAAUGAAAUUCAUGAUAUGUUGCAGUUUUUAAAUUCAAAAUUAUAUAGAUAUGAGUUUCGAAAGUAAUUUUCUAUAAUAAACAUAUAUAGUAAUUGAUAGAAAACAAAACUUGUAAUUAGAUAAAAUAUAUUAUCUUUACACGUCUAGUUGGAAGAUAUAUAAAAACUUUAGUUUAGACCUUUUGAUAAAGCAUAAUAUUUAUUAAUAAAAAAUCAAAAGAAUAAUAAAUAAUAAUUAGUAAUUAAUAAAUAAAUGUCCCAAAAGUGAAACAUCUUGUUUGAGUAGUCCUGAAGUGAGUUUAAUUAAUGUCACCAAAUGCAUAAUUAAUCACGUUUGGAACUCAAACAUGAUCCCAAAGUGUAAAAGGUAAAAGCAUAUUCUGCGCAGCUAUGUAUUAUAGGAAGUUAAACUUAGAAAAAAAAAGGAAUAAGUGGAAUGGAGUUAGCAGUUGCAUUCACACUUUUGAGAUAGAAAUGUGAGGAGGAAAGAAAUGGAAGAGAAAGAGUCGUCCUUUUUUAGUCUGUUUGAAAGAGAAGUGGUAAUAAUUUAAAAAAUCUUACACUACCAUUCUCCCCUUAAGAAUUAGAAAGUGUAAUUGCUCUCUCAAUGACUUUGUUCGACAAACAUGCAGAAUAAGUAAUUACACCGUAUUGCACCCAAAUCCAAUUGCAAGAUGACUUUCCAAACAAGCCAUAGGUGAUCGUUUUCCAUUUGUAGAAGCCUUGGUGGACAGAGUUGCCCGCAACCUUGCUAGUGGAAGCUAGAAUUUAUCCGGUAGAAUAGCCGAAUUACACACAAGCUGGGCCAGUUACCACCGUCGUAAAGAAGUAGGGAGAAGUGUUAUCACUGUUUAUUUUGUUGCAUGUCCUGUAAACUAACUUUUUUAGCAAGUUACCCUUCAUAUUUCGGUAGGUUAGUCGUUCAUCUUUCUCCAUUGGAAGUAACGACACCUCAAACAAGUGUAAACGAGGACAAACAUGUCUUCCCGCGCGUGGAGGAAAUAGAGCGAGCAAGGGAGUGGAGAAGAGGGUUGGUGCACGUGUUUUAGGUUGCCACAAGGAUAUGGUUGCGGAAAAUGUUUGAUUUCUCAGUAAGAUUAAGAAUCUUCUCCUGCAUUGCAUUUUUCUCCAAUCUACACAUUCAAGGACUUUUUGACAAGCUUCCCAUGUUCUUUUCCACCUUCUUCAAGGAACAAUUGACAAGUUUUACAUGUUGUUCGUUAUCCAUCUUUCAAACCAAUGUCUUGCUCCGUGGCCAAGCCUUUUCGAAUCUCUCUAUCCAUUUUGGUGACGAUUUGACUUGAUUAUUCAUGGCAAGCUCUAACUCGUACAAUUUUUUUUAUCUAUUGGACCAAUCUACACAGUCAAGGACUAUUUGACAAGCUUCCCAUGUUCUUUUCACCUUUUUCAAGGAACAAUUGACAAGCUUUCCAUGUUGUUCUUUAUCCAUCUUUCAAACCAAUGUCUUGCUCCUUGGCCAAGCCUUUUCGACUUUCUCUAUCCAUUUUGGUAACGAUUUGACUUGAUUAUCAUGACAAGCUCUAACUCGUAUAAUUUUUUAUCCAUUGGAUCUAUCUAUCGAGAGAAAAUGGGACGGAGAUGUGCUGCAUAGCGUCAGUUUUGACCUCUCAACGUUGACUACUAUUCGACCAGUCUGUCUCUCAUGCUUGCUAAUUCAACAUUCAAGUUCAAUAUCAUUGUCUUUAACCUAUCAGCGGUUGACUACUAUUUGACUAGCAAUCGCUCUCUCUUGCUAGCAAAGCAGCGUCCAAGUUCAAUAUCAUAUUUUUAAGUUUUAUGGUAUACUCACUUUGUCACACUAGUCACUAGCAACCGCUCUCGUUAUUUGUCAAUCUUGCAUUUUCUGAGUUUUUAUUUUUGUAGUUUUAUUAUUGCAAAGAAAUUUUGCAACUCGAAGCAUUCUAUAUCUUCUAAUCAUUUUCCUAUGUUUCUCGCCAACUUGCUCCGGCGUGUCAAUUUAGGCGUUGUACCCAUGUCGACACGACAUUAGUAUGAGUGUGUGUAUGAAUCUGUGUCGGAUCUGGUCAAACAAUUUUGGGUGCUUUGACCACGACAGAUAGAAAAAUUUGAGAUGAAAUCCAAUUUGAUUUCCUAAAUCACAAUCAGAACUUGGGUAGAUUUGAAUAAUUAUCUAGGAAAUUGAUUGUUUACUUCUCUACAACUUGAGAAUAAAAAGAAAAUUCACACUUUACAAGCUAUACAUAAGUAUUGAACAAAUAUUUUCAUAAUUUAAAGAUAUUUAUAUUUUUGAAUUAUUUGUAGCCGGAUUCCCGCACUCGUAUCCGUAAUAGGAUCCUUAUCCCCGAAAUUUUAAAAUUUACAUUUAGAAGGAUCGGACAUCUAGGUCCACACCCGUGUCAGACACUCGUACCUGUGUCCGAGCAAUUUAUGUUUCUUGUAAUUACAAAUGCUUUUAUUUAUUUUUUAGUAGGUGUCUUAUGUUUAUUGUUGGAUCUAGUGCAGUGUUGGAGUAUUUGUGUGGGACAAGAGGCAUUCAAUUGUUUAUUUGGGUUAAGACUAAAAUAUAAGUCGUGUCUUUCAAAUUGGUCUGAAUAUUAAAAAACAAAUAUAAUUAUCCCUCAUUUGUUGUGUAAGGGUUUCCAAAGGAGUUUAUAAUGCCCUAGCCACUUUACUCAUAGCCUUAAGUUUCGGGUUGGAUGCUUCGUAUCCUAGUGUCUGUAAGGUUUCCCAGAAGAGUUUAUAAUAUCCUGACUUUAUAAAUUUCCCACUCAUUACUUGAAGGUUUUGGUUGGAUACUCAGAUUCGUAUCAACCCUUUUCCCCAAUUUUGUUUCUAUGCUAUCCGUUUGCCAUGGGCUUCACUCGGUUUCUCAAAUCAUCCCGUUGUGGCAGCAUUUUGCUCUAAGAUUAUAAUGUAGUUUGUUGAGCAUUGACAAAAGGGGUUGCUCUGAUGGUAAGCAACACCCACUUCCAACCGAGAGGUUGUGAGUUCGAGUCUCCACCUAGUGAAAGAAAAUGAGCAUCCAAACCCAAGUCCAAGGGCAACAGGUGGAAUUACCCAAGACAUUAUAGACAUCUUUGGUAAAACUGACACAACCGAUAAGGGACAAGUGUACCUUAAGACCCUUACCUAUGUAUUGCUCAAUUCUAAAAUUUAAACGUGAAUAUUUAAAUAAUUUUUAUUUUUUGUUUUCUAUUUGUGUUGAUCUAUAUUUUUAGGAGACUAGAGAAAAGACAUGUGGUAGACAGCAUACGACAAUGCAUUAAAAGUUAACGAGAGAGAGUAGACUCGAUAAACUCAAGAGUGAGCAUGCUCAACAACAACAACAACAACAACCCAGUAUAAUCCCACUUAGUUAGGUCUGCGGAGGUAGUAUGUACGCAGACCUAACUAAGUGGGAUUAUACUGGGUUGUUGUUGUUGUUGUUGUUGAGCAUGCUCACUCUUGAGUUUAUCGAGUCUACUCUCUCUCGUUAACUUUUAAUGCAUUGUCGUAUGCUGUCUACCACAUGUCUUUUCUCUAGUCUCCUAAAAAUAUAGAUCAACACAAAUAGAAAACAAAAAAUAAAAAUUAUUUAAAUAUUCACGUUUAAAUUUUAGAAUUGAGCAAUACAUAGGUAAGGGUCUUAAGGUACACUUGUCCCUUAUCGGUUGUGUCAGUUUUACCAAAGAUGUCUAUAAUGUCUUGGGUAAUUCCACCUGUUGCCCUUGGACUUGGGUUUGGAUGCUCAUUUUCUUUCACUAGGUUUGAAAACUAAAGUUUGGUAUCUCCGUUGUCACAGCUGCAAUUUUGUAGUAUUCAUUCGCUUUUGGUUUCUCUUUUAGUUUUAUCUCAUUGAGCCAUUUGCUUUGCUCCAACCCAUCUUAAUUCUUUGUUUACCCAAUGUUGGGACUCUAUGUUGUCUGCGUCCCAAAUGUAUAGUAUCGAGAGUAUGAAAAGGAGGGGCUGAUAAGUAUCCCACAUAGCAAUGAGUUCUCUUUAUAUUGUCUCGAAUAAUUUUCACGGUAGGCGCUAUCUUUUUGGGUUGAGUUAGAUCUAAGGAACAUUUUCUUUACGCGUUAUUAGAACCAAACUUUGGUAAGUUUGGUUUUACAACCACAAUUUUCUACUAUUCAUUUGUUUUGGGCUUCUUUCUCUUCAUAGUAUAGCCGAUUGAGCCAAUAUCUUUGCUCUAGGCUCAUUCUAUUGAGCAUGUUGUUUCCCCUAACAAAGUUAUCUUUAGAAAUCCAUGUGUAAACGAUAACACCAGGUGUUGAAGGAUAUGCUUCCUUAUUGGUUGUGCACGGGUUUCCAAAAGGUGUUUUGGCCACUCCACCCGUAGGUUUAAGAUUUUGGGUUUAAUGUUCCAAUUCUUAACAAAAAUAAUGCAAUUAAUUUUUUAUUUUUUUUUGAUUUGCACUGGUUGUCCGAGUCUCUAAGAGCCUUGACUAAUUCCGGGGGUGCACAGGCUCUCGGCAAGGAGUUCCCCACAAGUGCAUCGCGGUUAAUUCAGGUUUUACGCAAUCUGAUGGCCCUCAAAAAUUGUUUGCACCUAGUGCGUUUCGAACUUGAGACCUUGAAAGGGAGCAAACCCUAAGGCUCAAGUCAAUUGCCACCAGGCCGCCCCUAAGGGUUAAUGCAAUUAAAUAUUUUAUGGCAUGCCUCUGAUAUUACCUUUUCAAUGGCGCGUCACUUGCACUUGAUUUGACUAUUGAACCAAUGAUCCUUGAUCAACUCCCCAGUUUGAGGUUUUAAGAGAAUGCUAUACUUUUCUACUCGAAGAAUGGGUUGUGGAUUGUUCGAGGAAAAUAUUUAGGUGAAAUACAUAAACGACCCCUUUAAGUUGGCCACAACUACUAGACAAACACCUCAAUUAAACCCUUUACCAUUUAGACACUUCAAGUGUCCAUUAACCAGAUCAAAUAAACACAUAUUGCUGAUGUGGUAUGCGCGUGUUUGCUAAUAAAAUUUUAAGUGCAUGAAUCAUUUUUUCAGCGUAAUUUUUUUCCUUUGAAAAAAUUUAAGAAGUGGGUGUAUCUUUGCCUCUCUUCUUGUCUUGACCAACCUAUAUCAACAUCACCGUGAAACCACCAUUAAAACCAACCACUAAAACUCCAACUAAGCUACCAAAAAUCACCAGAAACUGCCCCUUUCAUCACAAAAUUCUACUGUCCCAUAACCUCCAGAGCUCUGCCUAAUUCCUUCGAGCCAAAACUAGUUCCAAACCCAAUUGAUACGCCGAAAAAAUUACAGCAUCAAUAGUUGCGAAAAACACCAAAUCUCGACUAGAUAAACAUCCUCUUUCCUCCACCAACACCUUCAUUCCCAUAGAAAAAGACAAACAAUAACCAAUUAUUUGAAUCAAACGACAAUUUUAAGGAUAAUUUUGUACCAAAAGUAAUUAGAGAAUUAAAAGUGCUAUAAGCCCAGACUCAUAGUCAAGAAACGAUAAAGAGAAGAGUGAAGAUUCCAGUAGAAUUAUUUCGUUCAGAUUUGCUCGGAUAUCAAUUUUCCGGCGAGAUAGGUCUCAUGAGAGGAGCUUCUUAUGUUCAUUUUGUUAAAUUGAGGGUGGAUUUGAAGGAAGAAGAUGAAAAGGUUGGGGUGGCGUUGGUUUUGGGCGGAAGAAGAAGAUGAAGUUGGUUUUUGGGGGUGGGGGGUGGGGAGGAGGGGUUGCGUUGGCUUGGUAGAAAACUCAUGAAAAAGGCUUUUUUUAUUCCUUAAAUACAUUUUCAUUUUUUGUUUAUUAUAUGUGUCAAAUUUCUAUUACAAAUACUCGCGUCGUUCAUUAAGUGGCUCAUUUGACACGUCAUUAGCAAGUGUAGGUCACGUAUAUUAUCUGUUACAGUCGUGUAUUUAUUUGUUUUGGUUAAUGGACACUUGAAGUGUCUAAAUGGUAAAGGGUUUAGUUGAGGUGUUUGUCUGAUCGUUGGGGACAACUUAAAAGGGCCGUUUAUGUCCGCCAAAAAUUUAGUGAGCUUUGUAACACCUAGAUUUCAUGAUCAAAGAAAGGCACUAAUGUAGAAGCUUUAAAUAAAUAUGUAAUGUAAAAAACAAAAAAAUUUAUAGCAACAACAACAAUAACAUACCAAGUGCAAUUCUACAAGUGGAGUCGAAUAAGUUAGAGAGUACGCAACCUUACCCCUACCUUGUGUAGGUAGAGAGAUUGUUUUUAGUAAGACCCUCGGCUCAAAACAAGCAUGCAUUAUCACAACAGUAUGAAGAAAAGGAAUGUAGUGGUGAAAAAGUUAAAAGACGCAAUAAUGACGACAUUAUAAUAGUAAAAUCGAAAGUCAACAUCGUUAGAUAAUAAUAGCAAUCUAACAAUAUGUAAAUAUGAGAAUAAAACUACCACUACUAGGAUGAAAGGAGAGUCGCUCGGCUCCCUACUGCCCUUCUACCCUGAUUCUUGACCUCCUCUUUCCUAUUAAGGGUCAUAUCCUCGGUAAGCUGAAGAUGCAUCAUGUCUUGCCUAAUCACCUCUCCUAGUACUUUUUCGUCCUACCUUUGCCUUUCCCAGGCCCACCAUAGUCAAUCUCACAUCUCCUCGCUGGGGCACCUAGACAUCUCCUCUUCACAUCUCCCAAUCAUCUCAACCUCGCUUUCCGCAUCUUGUCCACCACGGAAGCGAUACCUAUCUUGCCGUGAAUAACUUCAUUAUUAAUCAUACCCCUUCUAGUAUGCCGCACCUCCAUCUUAGCAUCGUCGUCUCCGCCACUUUCAUCUUCUGGACAUGCGAGUUCUUAACAUGCCAACAUUCUGCCCCAUACAACAUAGUCGGUUUAAUUCCCACUUUGGAGAACUUACGUUUAAGUCUCGGUGGAAUGUUCCUAUCAUACAAUUCACCAAAUGCUAACCUCCACUUCAUCCACCGCGCACCAAUUCGAUGUGUUACAUCCUUGUCGAUCUCCCUAUUGCCUUGUAUUACUGAACCAAGGCACGUGAAAUUUCUUCUCUUGGGAAUGAUUUGUGAAUUCAACCUCAUUUCCAUGCCAACCUUCUAAAUCACGUUGCUGAACUUGCACUCCAAAUGUUCUAUUUUAUUCCUACUCAACCUGAAGCCUUUAGACUCUAGAGUUAGCCUCCAGACCUUCCAGAUAGCUCUAGCAUUUACUCUGUUUCGCAUCUUGUUAAUCGAUGCUAUGUCAUUUGCAAACAACAUCUUGUAUGCUGAUUAUUGUGUUGGAGUUUGGUAUCUAAGGUGUACUCCUUACACCGUAACAUCUAGUAUCCUUUUUGUUCAUUUUCAUUCAGAAAACACAAGAAGCUGGCCCGUAGGUUUAAGGUAGCAUCCAUAAAACAUAAAAUUGGGGAUAUUGUGGUAAUUCAGCUAUUUUCAUCGAAGUUAUAACACGUGUUUUGGCAUUUUCGAUUUUAAAAGGAAGUGUGCCCCAUUUAGGUGGACCAUUAACUCCAAAUGCAUAAAUUGACUUGAUUUUAGCCAACUUUUUUGAGCUUACUUUAGAUGCCGGGAGGAAUCACUUAAAAUGACUCGCUUUGAACACUCCCUUCGUUGCAUGAUCCCCAUUGUUUGUGGGUUGCUUCUCUCAUUAUCUAUCUUUGAUGAACCACUCACAUACCUGUUUCUCUGUCUUAGCUGAACUACUCGGAAUCUUUGGUUUCUUGAACUGCUAGCAUUCCUUUUAUGGCCUCAUCAGGCCUCUCAAUCUCUGCUUGUUUCCUUUUACUUUUUCUUAUCUGUCUCUAGCUUGGUUAGGAGUUGAAAUUUGAGUACUUUGUUUUUGGUUGAAUUUUCAAUUGGUUUUAUGUGUGUCUUUGUUGUUCUUCAAAAUUCUUUUUAUCAUUUUAAAAAUAAAUUUAGAAUCCAUUGAAACCUGUGGAUGUUGUGUCGAUUAAAUCCAGAUUUUAAUCCAUAAAGUUCCAUUUCUUUGGACUCAACCAAUGUGGAUUUAAUAUAGCAUUCCUAAUAUAUUAAUUUCAAACUUAAAAAUGUGGGAUAGUUGACAUUACAAAUCACUUUUAUUUAUUGUAUAAUUCGUGGUGACAUCAUCCAUCACUGGUUUGGAUAACAAAAGAAAGUAAUUUGGAAGACCAGACUCUAGAGCGAGGGUUGGGGGUGUUUUGAGUUUUUUAUUUUUUUUGGGGGUGGGCGGGGUGGGGUGGGGGGAGCAUUGAACACGUUAAAAUUGUCAAUGAUGAUCUGAACUAGUUUGCUGAAGGAGAUAUGGACAGUUCAGUGGUGAGAGAUGUCAAGAUCAGAUGGUGGUUUAAAUGAUGAGAAUAAUUAAAAUCUAUGAUGCCUCAUGGGGAACCAUCUAAAAUAGGCUAAGAAACUGAAACCUUUUCAGAAAAGGCUCAGAAAUAUGUCAUGAAAUGUACUAGAGUUUGGGCCUUCAUUGAAAUCCAUUUCAUUGUUGCCCUGGUGAAUGUGCACAGUGGAUGCACAGGCCGAAAACAUAUAGGCAAGCUCUUAUGGUCCUUUUUUUUAGAGAUGAAGCCCUUAUGGUGUUUCAAUUCAUGGAUUAGGGCUCAGAUGCAUGUUUUAAUUGCUGCCUUGUGUUUUGAAGGGAAGAAUUUGCUGAUUCUCUUUUAUUGUUUUUUGGGAAGUAAAGUUUCUCUCUCAAGUAUUUGGGAUUUUUAUUAUUUAGCUUUGCUCUAUCCACUUUUGUUGUUAAAUACGUCAGCACCAUUCGCUGCACCAAUCUGUCUUGGGAAACUUUUGAUUGCUCGUCUUCUGUGUGUUUUGAUCUUGUUGUAUGUGCGGCUAAUUAGUCCAAUUAGUAUCUGUAUUUGUUUCUUAAUCACUGAUAAUUUUGUAUUACUUUCUUGGUGGCUUCAUUUCAUUUAUUGUUGGGUUAUGGUGGUUUAGUAUUGGGAUGAUCGUCUCGUCGAGGAACUUGUAACUGACCUUUUUGUAGAUUGUCAAAUGAUUUCAUUGUGACUUGAUUCCUUGCACAAACCAUGGAUUCAGUUCAUAUGCUAGUUAUGGAUAAUAAUGCUUCAUGAUUUCGCUAUCUUAAGUUCCUUUGGAGUUGGAGAAAGUAGUCUAUUGCUUUUGCUUAAACUGGUGCCCCAGUUGCAUGCUGCUCUAAUGCUGAAGUAUUCCUGCGUAUACCUACGGAGUGUUGGCUCUAACGUUUGCCGGGCCUUUGUAGUGCAAUUAUCAGUUAAGCAAGCUUUAUCUUUAGGGCUGUCAUUCUGUCUACUUCGAUUCUUCUACUGACUUAUGUUGAUGUUCGCACUUAAUAUAUCAGUCAAAACAGAUUUAUUCACAAAAACGUUUUCAUGUAUCCCUUUCUCUGAUAAUGUGAGUUCACGUUUCUCUUAGUUGGAAAUUGCAGAAUCUCUUUGGACAUUCAGAUUAAAAGAAUUAAAUCCUACAUCGAUGCAAAUAUCAAAUAACCAUUUUUCAAUGCGAACGAAGUGGACUCUGAUGUAAGGUGUUAAUUAAAACAGGAGCAAAAACAUUUAUGCAAUUCUAAGAUAGCUUAUGAGUGAUAAAACGUGCAGUAUGCAAAUUGUUCAUUUUGCUCAAGUCUCAGGGAUUAAGUGCUCAUCAUGCGAGCUUUUGACUCUACUGGUCUUUUAAUAUUUAAUGGUGCCCUUAACAUUUCUUCUUUUAUCAGAAGUGUGUUGAGCAGUUCAAGUUUCCCGACAAAUCCUAUUUUGUUAAGACUCCACAUAUCUGAUCUUUGUUCUGCGAUUGGUAUUUUUAAUUCAUGGAUCAUCGAAGAAAUAAGAGUUAAGACGAUGCUGCGAGAAUCUGAUGGAAAUCCACAGCAAAGGGGUUACAUUAAUAAUUUUCGCAUAUUUUUACAUCUAGUAGGAUAUUGAUAAAUCAUAUUUAACGCACUUAGACUGUCAUCAAUAUAUCCCGACUCUUUAAAAAUAUAUGUUGCCCUAUUGGUAAGGCUGGGCAUUUGCCAAUAUGUCGAGAAGAUGAGGUGAGAUACUAGUAGCACAAUAGCAAAGAGGUUGGAUAUUAGUUAUUCGAGUGGAUUAUUAAACUGAAGUUAGUCAGUCAUGUAUUGUAACGCACUGUCAUGAGCAGCAAACCUAUCCAAUUCUGGCUAGGAACACAUAAAUAUAAAAUAGUGGCCGUUUGACUUGAAAGAUAUCGAAUUUUUUUUUGAAUAAAUUAAUCAAAGAAAAUGAAGAGGUAAAUCUUAGUCGAGCAUAAUAAAUUCUAGAUCAAAGAACUGAUAGUAUAGACAGUGUACAGGACGGAAGGAGUACAGUACAUCUUAUUGAUAUUGUACAUUGAGACUCCCAUCAAUCGAUGGAGGAGGUAACUGCACAUAUAGUUCUUCGAUGUGUUAUUUCUCUCCCAAGAAGACUAAGAAAUGAGGGAUUUGGAGAGAAUUGGGGGNNNNNNNNNNNNNNNNNNNNNNNNNNNNNNNNNNNNNNNNNNNNNNNNNNNNNNNNNNUGAUCGAAGGUUUUUUCUCAUUAUAUAUAGUCAAGGCACCUUUACCCUUUACUUGGUCCGACGCCCUUCUGCCUCUAACGUGUCUUGGUCAUUCCUUUAGGCGCUGCUCUUUCUUAUUCGAUCGAUGUCGGGAGCAGAGUGGCCUAUGUUAUCUUUCACUGCCCGGUCACUUAGGAGGGACGUUAGUUAGUUCGGUUGUGAUAGUUAGAUUUUGACCAAUACAGUUAGUCUCUCUGUCAGGCUCGGCAGACGGAUCAUGAUUGCCAUGGAUUCGAGUGAAAUUUGACCUUUGACUUUUCAUUCCUUAGUUGCAUUACUUGGGUUUUUAGCGGGGUGACGAUGUUCCUUCAAUAUCUAUGGACCGUUGUACUGAUUUUGGAAUCGAGACGUCGCUUGACAUCAAAGCGUUGUUUCGUGAUUACCGCCAUUAUGGCACACGCUCCUGGGGAGCUGAAACAUUUCUUGCCCUAUUAGAUUUGAUUGGCAACUCUUGGGUUUUGUUCUUGAGGGAUUUAUGUCUCUUAUAAAUAGAGGGAGCUUAACAUUCGAUUGACAUAUUUCUCUGCCCUUUGCUCUUAAAGAAUUCUGUAGAUAUACUAUCUUUCUGACACUCCAAAAAUGUCUGCCUUCAAUCAACUGGAAAUCCGCAUCCUUUCUUUCGGUUGUCUUUUUCCUGCCUCUUUUUGGACAAUGGCUGGUGAUUCCUCUCGAACCGAUCUCCCUAUCACAGUUCCAUCACCGCAAAGUGAUGCUCAGGCCAUCGGAGGGGUAGAUGCGGUGGAAAACGAAGAAGUUCCACCGGUAGUUGAGAUUUUGCCUUGCCCUGGGAGAGAAUUGACCGACUUCAGCAUUCGCGCCGGGGCGGAGCAUGAGCCUGUACCUUCUAUUAUGAGAGAAAAAGACAUUGCAGAGUUGAAAACCAGGUGGGGAUCCCCGGCUAUGUCGACACGCAGCCGCCGGAAGGAAAUGACAUAGUUCAAUUCGACUGUCCUGGGUACUACGUAUUUUACGCUUACCCUUUCCUUAUUGGAUAUGCACUUCCUUUUCUUGUCCUGGUGGUGGACUUCUGUCAUUUUUAUGCGGUGUGCCUCGCCUAAUUGCAGUCGUACCUGUACAAGCCAUUCCUUAUGUUGCUCAAGUUUGUGAAACUCCGCGGUCGUGAGAUCACGUUGGAUCAUCUGCUUAAUAUUUUGCCUCUCAUCUUAUUCGCGACAUGAUGCUUCACAUGUGUCCUGGGGGGUCGAACAGCCUGGUGGUAAAAAUGGACAUGACCAAGCGCCAUUUUUGUGAGAAUUAUUUCUAUGUGCGGCCUGGGCACAUUGUGGCGAAUUCGACGGGGUUCCAUGAGAAAUGGAACUUUGCACGUAAGUCUCAUGCUUCUAGUCGGAGAUAUGUCCGACCUUUUUUGUUGGAGUACUAAACUUUGUUAUGUCUUUGCAGUUGAGAAGUUGCCGCCUCCGCCCGUCGAGAAUAUCUGUGAGUGGGUGAGCGUUAUUCUCCCUCAUACGGCGGGGGUUCGUACGUGGGCGGCCUUCUAUGACAAACAUGGGCGCAUGCCUCUUUCUGGUAAGAUGACGUUUCAAUUCGCUGUUAGCUUUCCGGAAACCAACCUCAUUUACUCUCUCUAUUGUGGUUCCCACCGCCCGACCUUCAUCGAGGGCGUCAUCAGUUGAGUCAGAGACCGUGGUUAUUCCUGCGAGGAAUGCUUGUCAGGCCGAAGUUUCGACCCAAAUUGCUCGCCCGACGGGUGAAUCUCUACCUACUGGGGAAGAAGAGGGGCCAUCGAAAAGACGAGGAGUGGAGUAAGAGACAGCUCCCCCAACAGUGAUUCAUUUGGAUGAUUCUCCUUCGAUCAGAUCCAGAGAGGGGAUUGUUGUGGCUCAUCCCAUAGGGAUGGAACCAGUUGUUGCCUCGACUCGCUCAGAGAUUUCUACCAUUGUCGGUGGUCAACAACAUAUAGUGGCGGAAGAUUAGACUUUUGGGGCCGCCGUUGUAGUUCCCCUCUUUCUCUAUAGUUAGUCGUGCUUCCUCUUUGGUUGCCGAAAGAGGAAAAGGCAUGGGGGUCGACGACUAUGAAUCUGAGUCGAACCUCGACCCUGAUGAUGCCUAGAUGUUUGAAGAGGGCCUUACUCACUCGGUGGUUCAUGCGGGAGGCUUGACUCGUAUUCUUCUGAUCCCUUCGCAUGUCAAUCUUUUGGGGGACAUGGAGGAUCUGGUACCGCAGUUCAACUUGCUAUGCUCUAAGCCAAAAAUGCAGCUCUUCGGUCCGUUCCCGACUCUGAUUUGAUGGAUGAGGUGGCCAUUGUGGGCUUAAUGAUAUGUUGCGCUUUACUUUCAUUUUUUCCUCGCCUUUCUUGAAGAUACGAGUCUAACCCGUCUUUACGUUUUUCAGGCAUAUUUGGUGGAAGUGGAGAACAUUUGCACGACUGACGUUCGGGCCAGAAUUUUCUUGAAGAUGUUGGAGAAAUAUCGUCGAUACCGGAACAAGUGUCGCGAGAUGCACGAGCGACUGAAGGCAAACCCCGGUAAUCGAGCUCUUGGUGAGGAUAUAGAGAAAAAGGACCAGGAAUUGUGUAGGCUAUCCACAGUAGGAGCGUGCUUGAGAAGCAACUUCGGAUAAAGGGCGAGGAGCUCGAGUUAGGCAAGGGAGUUGCCGCAGAGUGCGAGCAUUUGCAGGAGAAAUUGAGGUUAAUGCAGUCCGAGAUGGAUCAGAACUUGACCAGGUUCGAGGCGCUGGGCGCAGAAUAGAUGGGAAAAUUGACUAAGUUGGAGAACAAGGUUGCCGGGUUGGAGAGCGUCUAGAGUGCUUGGUCUGCGGCUUCGGCAAGGGCGGCGGCCCUAGAGGACACCAUCCGCGUCCUCCAGUCCGAGCAAGAGUCGGAGAGGCUCACGGCUACACUUAUUGAUGCAAGGCUCAAGGAGCGCAUCAGUGAGAUUAACCGAGAGGCAUCGAUUUUGGAAGAUCGGGUCGCUGCCUUGGAGGCAGAAAUAAGCGACUGUUGGCUCAGAUUGAAUAUUCCUCCACCGCUGUUCCCUGCCAUAUGCAUGAGCUUUGGGUUCAUGCUGAAGCUUAGCGGGAUAUAUACAAGAGUUUAUGGGAGGCGGGUACUGUGACUGAGGCUGCAUAUGAGAGGCGUGAAUGAAAGCACGGGAGGCUCGUGCAAACUAUGGGUAUGAUGCGGCGACACUUAAAGCUAAUGGGGCGCGGACGUGAAGGAGAACUUCCUGGAGAUGGCACUGGAGAAGGUGGCGAUGAUGAUGCAGAGUAGUGAUAUUGAUUUUUCCAUUUGUUGUUUUCUUUCCAAUUUUUCGUUCGUAGUCGAUUGUCAUUUGUUCCCCCUUUUUUUGUUGCUCUUUUUUUAUACUGCUGACUUGGUUCUUAUGUAAUCCGCGACCAUCGGAGCGAAGAUUUUUUAUAAAAGGAGAAAUUUUGCUGUUUUUUGCCGUUUUUUGCCUUGUAUUCCACUCGUUUUUGUUUUGCGUGAUUCCGAUGCGAAAUCGAUUCCCCCACAAUGAGUCUCGAUAUUUUGCACUUUCGAUGAUCCUCGACCUUAGGAACAUUUCGCCCUUUCUCAUUGGCGAUGGAUUAUGGCCUUAAAGGGCGUUAUUUCGAACUUGUCGAAGUAGUAGCCCGUCGUCGCUCGAUUGAAGUUGAACUCGUCUUUUAUGGCGAAACCCCUUGUCCUUAAAGGGUGUUAUUUCGAACUUAUCGAAAUAGUAGCCCGUCGUUGUUCGAUCAAGGUCGAACUCUUCUUUGGCGAAGGCCCUUGGUCUUAAAGGGUGUUAUUUCGAACUUAUCGAAAUAGUAGUCCGUCGUCGUUCGAUCUAGGGCGAAAUCUGCUUUUGGCGAAGGCCCUUGGCCUUAAAGGGUGUUAUGUCAAACUUAUCAAAAUAGUAGCCCAUCGUCGUUCGAUCGAGGUCAAACUCUUCUUUUGGAGAAGGCCCUUUGCCUUAAAGGGUGCUAUUUCGAACUUGUCAAAAUAGUAGCCCGUCAUCAUUCGAUCGAAAUCGAACUCUUCUUUUGGCGUAAGCCAUUAGCCUUAAAGGGUGCUAUUUCGAACUUAUCAAAAUAGUAGCCCGUCGUCGUUCGAUUGAGGUCGAACUCUUCUUUUGGCGAAGGCCCUUAGCCUUAAAAGGGUGUUAUUUCGAAGUUACCGAAAUAGUAGUCUGUCGUCGUUCGAUCGAGGUCGAACUCUUCUUUUGGCGAAGGCCCUUACCCUUAAAGGGUGCUAUUUCAAACUUGUCGAAAUAGUAGUGCAUCGUCGUUCGAUCGAGGUCAAACUCUUCUUCUGGCGAAGGCCAUUAGCCUUAAAGGGUGCUAUUUCGAACUUGUCGAAAUAGUAGCCUGUCGUCGUUCGAUCGAGGUCGAACUCUUCUUUUGGCGAAGGCCCUUAGCCUUAAAAGGGUGAUAUUUUGAACUUGUCGAAAUAGUAGCUUGUUGUCGUUCGAUCGAGGUCGAACUCUUCUUUUGAUGAAGGCCCUUAGCCUUAAAGGGUGCUAUUUGGAACUUAUCAAAAUAGCAACCCAUCGUCGUUCGAUCGAGGUCGAACUCUUCUUUUGGCGAAGGCCCUUAACAUUAAAGGGUGCUAUUUCAAACUUGUUGAAAUAGUAGCCCAUCGUCGUUCGAUCGAGGUCGAACUCUUCUUUUGUCGAAGGCCCUUAGCCUUAAAUGGUGCUAUUGCGAACUAAUCUAAAUAUUAGUCCGUCGCUGUUCAAUCGAGGUUGAACUCUUCUUUUCGCGAAGGCCCUUAUCCUUAAAGGGUGCUAUUUUGAAGUUAUCGAAAUAGUAGCCUGUCGUCAUUCGAUCGAGGUCGAACUCUUCUUUUGGCGAAGGCCCUUAGCCUUAAAGGGUGCUAUUUCGAACUUGUCGAAAUAGUAGCGCGUUGUCAGUCCCAGUAUUUGAAGAAUAGUUCUUUUUGUUUUUGGGGGAAUCCUAGUUCGUUUGAUAUUGCUUCCACCAGAGGGUGCAACGUCGGAUAAUACGAAAUAUUUCUAUUUUGCUUAGGUUCGUUCUACGCACACAUUGCGGUUUCCUUGUCUAACCCCCACCUUUCGGUUGAGGUAUCACCGGCGGGCGGCAUUACAGUUGUUUUGCAGUAAUUUUUUCAUCCUUUAAUUGAGGUGUUUCUUUAUUCAUUCGCCUCCGCGACCUUUGUAUUCCUACUUGAGCAAAUGGCAGAAGGUGAAUUAGAAUGGUACUUUCCUUUCCUCCGUCCGGUGGUCCAAUGCAGGAUAACAAGUUGGUACGUUGUUCGUCUUGUUUGGCAUAUCGAUGGUUGAUGGGUGAAGAUUUUCAAGUUUGGUGAUUUUUCUCGGCUUUGCUCGCCCUACCGCGCUGCGCCUUUGCCCGACGUGGGCUUUUUUCUUUUUUACUCUUUUUAGUAGGUGAUCGUAUCUCUUGUCUUCGAUUUGGGAGAGACUAAGAAUUUUCACUAAGAAAUUCCCACAAACGAUGCCAAAUUGUUUGACUCAAGAGAUAUCGAAACUUUUUUAAAUAAAUCAAUCAAAGAAAAUGAAGGGGUAAAUCUUAGUCAAACAUAAUAAAUUCCAGAUCAAAGAACUGAUAGUAUAGAUAGUGUAUAGGACGAAAGAAGUACAAUAGAUUUCAUUGACAUUGUACAUUGAGACUCCCAUCAGUCGAUGGAGGAGGUAACUUUACGUAUUAUUCUUAGAUGUGUUAUUUCUCUCCUAAGAAGACUACAAGAAAUGAGGGAUCUGAAGAGAAUAGGGGGAGAGCCCCGGUUGAAGGUUUUUUCUCACUAUAUAUAGUCAAGGCACCUUUACCUUUUACUAGGGUCGAUGCCCUCUCGCCUCCAACGUGUCUUGGCCGUCCCUUUAGGCGCUUCUCUUUCCGACUCCGGUCACUUAAAAGGGACGUUGGUUAGUUCGAUCGUGACGGUAAGAUUUUAACCAAUACAGUGGUUGCAGCGUAAAAUGUAGUCAAGAUUUGAAGGCUAUGGAUUAAAAAAUUUAUUUUCUUCAAAAUUGAAUUUUAUAUUAAUAAUUUAUAUAUUUUUAAUAGAUUUCUUGUGACUAAUACAUUAUUCUUAUCAAAGGUAUUAGGUUCGACAAAUUCCGUAACCGUAAGGCUGGCUCUGUCACUGGCUGUGACUAACUGGUAUAUCUCAAGAUAUUCUACCAACAAUGAAAAAUAUAAUUAAGAGAUAUUAGGAAGCUAAAUAUCAGUAUAGAGAAAAUGUUGUAGGCUUCAAUUUCUUUGAAUGGGGGGAGUUCCACUCGCUGCCUCUUCAUUUUUCUUCCCUUUUUGAGUCUUCUACUGAUCCACGAAGAGUAGUUUGGAGAAUCUUUAAACUUGCCCUCUGGAAUUUGUUAUUCCUCUCAUGAAAAAGCUUUCUUGUAAUAUUGAUCUAGGAUUACCUAAUUAAUAUCCCAUGAAUGUCUGAACCUUCUGUGUUAGCCUUUGGUUUAAUUUCAUAUUUUUAGGUACAAUUCUUAGUCAACUUGCUCAACGUUCCCACAAUGGACUAUUUGGUUAAUGUUGAGAGUUACAGGAUGUUUAAUUAGACUUAUAAGGUGGUAAGAAGUUUCCACGAAAUGUAGUAUUCCAAACUAGUAAGAUAUUCUCUAUGUCAUCACGUUUGGUAACAUGUUCACGUCCAAAUAGGACUCGGAUCCCUUAAUAUUGCUGGUUGUUUGCGCACGUGGACAUGAACUUUGAGACUUUGCAUUUAAGAUGUGACAUAAUGGUCAAUAAAGUAGAUUAAAAAUAAAGUAGAAUUAGAAUUUAAAGUUUAUGGAUUUUGAUCUGUUAUAAUUCGUUUUAGUUACUAAAUUCAAAAUUAAAUAUGUAAACAUAUUUAAUGGAUUUCUACGACAAAUACAGAGUUUAAGUAAAAGUUAUUGAGUUCAUAUGAAUUCAUAACGUGUUUGGUUGAGAGCUAUGCGGUUUUAGGUUUAAAUUUCAAACCAAACAAAAACAUGGGUAGAUUGCUUCCCGUCUAAGUCUUGGUGGAUAGAGUUCUCCAAUACCUCACCACUGAGAAUAACAGGUACCUCGUAAAAUAAUUGAGGAAGGUACAAGCUGAUCUCCGAAAAUUACAAUUAUUAUUUGUUAUAAAAGAAAGGACGACUGGUAGAUAGAAUCUUGUUUGAACGAUCAAUCAUGUCCUCGGUGAAUAGAGAACAAUCUCCCGAGCGACAAUUCCAAUGAUAAAGAAAUAAAAAAUUAUUUGGAAAGCAACGCAUGAAGUUUAUGCAAGGACCAGAAGUUGGAAUUCUAAGAUCAAUGAAAGGUAAGGUCAAGAAUCUAUAAAUGCAAUAACGUAAAGAGAAUAUUAUUCAUCAGAAUUUUGCUAAACCAAAAUCAAAUUAAAUUUAAGAAGUUUUGACAAAACUUUCUGGUUUGAUUUUUGAAUCCAAAACAUUUUAGAAGUCAAAGAAAGAAUUGUGAAAAAUUGUACUCUUCACGUUAUUUGUUUUGGAAUAUACCUGAAAUUUCUUUGAAAACGCUAGUACACUGAUAAUAUGUACAAAUGAUUUAGUAUCUUAUACGGACAUUAAUAAAUUUUUACAGUAUUUAGAGGAAUUUUACUUGCCUAGUUUCUUUAUUUUUCAAGUUAUAAAUUUUACUUAAAUAAUGAAUUGCUUGUAACUAUGUUUUAAUUCUUGUGAUAGUGCUAAAGAAUUUAAGCACUAUUAGUGUACAGUUAAAAUACUUUAAAAGAUUUAAUCCGUUGAACCUGGCAUCUAAACAAAAUUAGAUAAAAAUUAAUCGAGCAAUAAUACCAUUACUCUAGUUAUUAUUAUUAUUUUGCUCUAAUUGAAUAAAAUUAAGCUUUGUCAAAUAAAUAAGUGUCUGCGACCAAGUCUUACGUGCCUGCUGUUUAUCUAUUUAUUUAUUAUUAUUUAAUGCUAAUUGUUAUUGUUGACGUUAAGAGGUCUAAAUUUCUAAUACUUUACUGUCCUUUUGGUCUCAUUGACCGUUUGUCCUUACAGAGACCAAAAACUAGUAAUACUAAUAGGAAAAAAACAGUAAUUACAAUUUGAAUAGAAGAAAUAAUCACGUUAAAGAAGGACGAAGAUUUAAUUUAUUUAAUUGUGAAGGGACGUCUACAAUUUGGAUUGUUCUGAACCUUUUGGUUUUUAUAUUUUGGUUGUUUAAAUCAUGAAUAGAAAGGAGCAGCACUAAUAUAACUUCUCUAUGAUUAUAUACGUAUUUUCUUUUUCAGUAUAUUCCGGAUUGUACCUUGACAAAUAUUGCAAUGAAGUUAAGAGUUUAGUGUCCUAAUGUCUCUUUAUUCACUGAUCAAAAUUAUAGUGCAAACUUUCCGUACAUUUUUAAAAUUUGCUUAUGCCCAAAAAUUAGCCUAGUUCGAUAGAACCCAGUAGAAGUGUACAGAGAUUGAGUUGGUUUGAAUUUUAUAAUUAUCAAACAAAACUAAUUGUGUUGGGUUAUUAAAUUUAAAGACCAAACCAAAUCAAUAAAACUCGAAUUUUUUACUCUUGGUUUUUUUCCGGGUUGUUGGGUUAUUUGGAUUUUCUCGGGGGUUUUUUCAAGUAAAAUCUUCAUAGAACAAAAACAUAUAAAUUGUGCUUAAUAUAUUUCUUUAAUCCUAGUAAGAUACAACUAUAUAAAGUAUUUUCCAAGAAAAUAAUACAAAAUAUGAGAUGUGUGACAUUAGUAUCACCGGAGAAUGGUUUUCUCUAGAAGUUUGUUCCGGAUUUGAAGGUUGAUCAUAUGUGUCAUGAAUAAGGUCAUUGUGGACCCUUGAAAGGUUAUUGGCCUAAUAUGGGAUGAUCAGAAUCGACUUAAGGUCUGUUAGUAGAUCUAAUGUGAAUAUAUGCCUACAUUAGGUCGUAUGUGAUCAUUCGGCACAAUAUUGCUUAUGGAUGAGUCUUGGGGCGUUGGAUGUUUUCUGUGUCACCAGUUAUUCUAUGUGGUACUCUAUUAUGCCAUGUUCGUUGUGAUCCUAUGUAGCUUGUGAUAUUAUAUGAGCAAUAUGGCUCUCGAGAUGCAAUACAUUUAUUGCACCUUAGUCGUGCUUGGGCCCUUAUAGCUAGAGUAAUGUUAUGCACUUAGCAUACUUGUUGUUGAUAUACGUGUGUGUCGUGGGUACGAGCAUUAGUAUUUCCUUACUGAUUGUUAUGACGCUGCAACGGUAUCAUGUGCCAACCAGGUUGCACACUGCAACAACGAGAUGUUGAGUAUGGUUCCUUACAUUUAUUUUGUAUGUCUUGUUUUUCAUUUUUGAGAUGUAGGUAGCACUGGUUUGGUUCUUUUUUGUUCGUUGCGCAAUCCAUAUUGUCUUUAUUCAGAUUCGUUAUUCCUUAUUGGUCAUAUUCAUUACUGAUAGCGUCACAUUUGAUUUUAGACGGUGUUUGAGGUGGCUUAUUGCCCGGGCAUCAUGUACUGGGUCAGACAAGGUUGUUGGACCUGGAAUUAGUGCAAUCAAAUUUAUAUAAUAUAUAUUAGAGAAAAAAAUUCACUAAUCAGUUCAAAAUGAGGCAAUGGUCCUCGCCAAGCGGAGAGACUCCAUGAGUUAUUGAUUUGGCAGGUAAUUAUGAGUUUCUACACAUCUCUUACAUCAUUGCACUAUGACAAUGGUUGGAACAAGGCUUAUAUGCGUUAUGAGGUAUAUUAUGGCCAUCAGCUUCGUGACUUUGCAGCUAUUUUGGUUAGAGGAUACUAUUAUGAGCAUAUGAAUUAAUGCAGUGCAUUGCGUGAAUUCAGCGUGGAUACAUGAUCAUGUUUUGGUAUAAUGUGUGAUAUUGAUACAACGUGCAUAUGUUCGAAUCAAACCUGGUAGAGAAUUUCGAAUGUUGGAAUUUGUUUCUAAGUCUUGUGGGCUAAGGUAGCAGGAAGGAUCCUCUCUUUGGCUUGAGCUAAUGUGCUCAUUUGGGUUGUGGUGGCACUGGUAGGUGUAUAAGGUGUUAAACAAUGCUUUUGGGAAACUUUGGACCAGUUCUUAGCAAGUUCUGACGAAUGUACGUUUAAGUGGGAGAGAAUGUAAUGAUCAGACCUGUCGUUUUGAGCUCUAGCGUGUUGUUCGGAAGUUCGAUACUUUGAGUAGUUUCACUUCAUGUAUUAUGAUAUGCACGUGUAGUCAGAUUAGAUUUUGGGAAGAUCAGAGUUGGUUUGGAAGAAUAAUUCUCAAUUCGGAACCUUUGACCAUGGUUUGACUUUUGGGUAAAUAACCUCGGAUCAGAGUCUUGAUAGUUUUAUUAGGUCCGGAUGUUGAUUUUGAACUUAGACAUAUGUUCAGAUUUGGAUUUAGAAGUUGGUUGAUUUUACGCUUUUUAGCAAAAGAUUGAAGAUUUAGAAGGUUUAUAGGUUUGACCGAAAAUUGACUUUUUUUGAUAUCGAAUCCAGAUUAUGGUUCCAGGAGUUGGUAUGCAUUGUUUUAUUUGGGACUUACAUGCAAAAUUUGAGGUCAUUCGGGUUGAUAUUGUAUGGUUCGUCAUGAAUUUUAGAAUUUUAUUAGUUUAUUAGGCUUGAAUUGAUUUGCUAUUCAUGUCUUUGAUAUUGUUUGUGUGACUUGAGUCCCUGAUUAGGUUCGUCUUAUGUUUUGGGACCGGUUUGUGUGAUUGGGCAGGGUCCCCGGGGCCUCUGGUAUGUUCAGAUGUGUUUGGGUUGUGUCACACUCUUAUUUUAUGUUUCAGAUUUCUUUGGUCAUAAAAGGGUAUUAUAUUGAGCAAACGAUUUUGAUUGUGAUUAGAAGUAUCAGUAUAUCCACAUCGUCCCCACUUUGUGGGACUAUACUGGGUAGUAGUAGUUGUUGUUUUUUUUUGUUGUUGUUGUAGUAUAUCCAUAUUGUAAUUACAGAACCAUAGCAACAAGAAUCGUAGAAUUCCAAGGUCGUAUGAGAGUGUUAUACCCGUUUCCGUAUCGGGAAAGAUUGCUGGUUUCAAGUGCGAAUUUUUGUUCUUUACGAACAUAAGAGUGCGAAUGUGAAGAAGAAUUUCUGGGUUGACCGGUCAACACAAAAAUUUUCCCUUCACGAACACGUAUGUCUCCCGUGAAGGCGAUGAACAAAAACCAUCUGGAUAGUAUUUUAAACCGAGAAAUUUAGCAUUUUGAGCAUAUCUUGCAUUCUAGAUCUUCGUUUGAGGAGAUUUUCACGAUAUUUUUCUCGUCUCAACAAGGGGGAAACUAUUGGACCUUUAUUUUGAUGUUUUCCAUGAUUAGUUUUGUUGAUUAUUAUUUUUAACCAUCUUUGGAUUGUAGAAAUUGGGGUUUGAGCCCCAAAGUUGAGAAAAGGUAAAUCCUUGAUUUGAGGGUCAAUUCGUGGAUGAAAUUGGAUAAUUUUAUUGAUAUAUACUAUAUAAGUUCAGGGUAAUACUUAUUUUGAUAAUAUUUGGAAUUCGGGCACGCGAGCCCAAGCAUUGACGUUGUUGAAUUUUUGACUGGAGUUGGAAAUUAUUAUAAAUUAUUAAAUUACUAGUAUUGGAGUAUAUUUUGAUUGGUUUACACGUUGUUUUAUUAGUUUUGGAUUGUUAGGCAUUGGUUUGAGGAGUUAGAGAGGCAUUGGAAACGGUAUUCAAAUUUCGGAGCGAGAUAAUCAUGUCUAACCUAUUUAGGGGAAUUUACCAUGUAGGUGUUAUGUUUAGGGAGCUACACACGUAUGAGUUGAUGAGUAUCCGUGCAUAUGCUAGGAUUCCUGAUUAUUUUCGAGUAGACUUAGACUCACACCAUGCUUUAAUUGGACUAUUUAAGUUAUUCUUCCAUGUUUAUAUGCUUUAAUUUCCAUUUUGCCUGAGACUAGACUCGUGUAGAGUAUCAAACUUGAUAUUUUAGAUACUUGACGAGCUACUUGAUUAGCCAUAGAAAUUGUACCUUCCUUUAUGGAUUUUGUAAGGCACCAUAAAAUAUUUUUUAAAACCCGGAAUUUUGUGGUGCCAAGUUAGGAUUACGCGCCUCAGGCUAUUUGGAGCGGACCGCAGAACGGCCGCAGAGUGAAAUAGAAAUUUGAGUUGAUUUUUGGACAAAUUAUGCAGUCCAUUAUCUGGUCGCAUAAUCGUUUUGCGGACCACAUAGCCCAUUGCAAAUCUCCACAUACAGGGGUGUUCUGCGACACAUUAUGUGACUGCAUAACAGGUCUUCAGACCGCAAACCAGUCGUAGACUGAGUCAAAAAAUUCUAGUUCUUUAGGGCCAUCUUGCCCAUUCUACGGACCGUAGAUGCAUUAUGCGGUCACAUAUGCGACCGUUGAUCUAUGUUGAUAUAUCUAAUGCCGUACUUCAUUACGAGCCUAUUUUUUGGUACUUUAAGAGUGAGAAAGAGAGUCUUAGAGGGAGAAAGUGUGCUUCAUCAAAAUUACUCCUCAAUUCUUGUUUAAACCUUGAAGAUUGUUAAAAGAGGCACCUAAGUCUUCUUCCUAAGUGGUAAGAUUCUAUCACCGAAACUCUUAAUUUCCAAAUGUCACUAGAAUGAGCCAUUAGAAAGGUAAUUCCUGGGGAUGAGAGUGAUUAUCUUGCAUGCAUGUGUUAUAAUGAGUGUAGUGGACUUGUGAGCUAAAAACAGUGAAGAAUGGGGUGUGGGAUAAUGAAAUAUUUCACAGAAAGGUCUUAAAAACAUAAUGCACACCUAGUGUUUGACAUUGUGCUCAAAUGAGCUAGAAUCUUUAUCAUCCUUCUAAUUUCUUAUUCAACUUGUUAUAUUCCAAAAAUAGAUUGAAGGUGCUAAGAGUUCUAAAAUUAUUGUUGAAUUUAGUGAAAGCUCAAUUGAGGUAUGUUUGGCUAAACUCACUUCUUCUUAGAAUCGAAACCCCUGGUGUUUGUUUAGUUGGUGUAAGUCCCCAAAUUGAUCAUAGUACAAUUGACUGCCCCUAAUGUGUUGUGUUGAAUGAUACAUGCUCAAUAUUUGUUCUAAAUGCUUAUCAUGUCACUAUGCCAUUUGAGGAUGUGUUUAAAAGUGUGGAAUAUUUGUUGAGAAGGUUAAGAAUUCAUGUCCAACAAUCAAAUAAAGGUUGCUAUUCUAAUUUUAUGAAAAGUCUAUAUGUUCUUAGGAUUUUCCAAGCUUUUCCCUUAUAUGUGAAUUGCCUUACAUAAUAGGCCUUAUUGUUGCUGAUGAUAAUGUUAUUGAAUGUGUAAAAAUGGAAACUUGAAUUUUUAAAUAUAGCCAAGUGCCAAGAAUGACUUAAUAAAUGAGGCCACUCACGCCGAUGUAUUGAAAGAUGGGAAGAGAUAUGAAGUGAGAUGAUCGAUUGAAAGGUUGAUGUCUCAAGUUAGAUGGACUAGCCGAUCAGGCUGUGAUCGGACGCCAUGAACACAUGGUGGUAACUGAUUUAGAAAUUAUUAAUUGAAAUUGUGGAUAUGGUUGAUGUCUCAAAUAAGAUGACCUAGCCGAUCGGGUCAACAUCGGAGUCCGUGUAAGAACACAGUUGUAUUGUGGAUUGUGGAACAUGGCACUAAAGAUUACACAACCUAAUAAGAUGGAACUUGUCGUGAGAACUUAUAUGAAUCCUUACUUGAUAUUUUAAUAUUACUUAAAGCUCUUAUUGAACUCAUAACUAUUUCUUUCCUUUGUAUUGUUGUUCAUUCUAUUGAGAUGAUGUUUUAGCUUUGAUUACUAGCACUAUUAGAAAGUAUUAAUGUCUCUUUUCCUGGGGGCCUACAUCUUUAAAUGGAUAUAAGUAGUUCUACAGCAGACAUUGUUGAUUGCAACUAGUGGUACAACAACAUCAUCAUCUUCCCAGCAGGCUUGGUGAGACCCAUUUCAUUCCGGGGUGAUGUAUUGUAUCUUUUUUUCAUAUUUUAUCAUGUUUUGAGGUAUAACCAGGGCCUUGUUUCCGGCAUUAUCAUAACUAUAUUUUGUAUCUUUAGAGGCUCCGUAGACAUUCUGUGGACAGUAUAUGGGUGCUAGAAAGUUCAGACAGAUUAUGUUGUGUUUUGGACUCUUGAUCCACUAAAUUUAACAGUGGUAUGUAUUUGGGAACUUAACAAUGAUGUACCACGAUAAAAUGAAAUAAAUUAGUAAUGUUUGUAUAUAUGAUCCUUCUACUGUUAAAUAAUGGAAACACACCUUCUCUUAAUCAUAAAUGAGUAGGGUAGAAAGUGUCUAACAGGCUUUCUCGACUAGGUCCACUUGAUUGAGUGCCGAUCGCAUUCCCCGAGUUUGGGGCGUGGCAAACUUAGUAUCAGAUCCUAAGGUUUUAAUGUGUCCUAGGAUGUCUCAGAUUCGUGUCUAGUAGAGUUCUUAUUAUCGGUGCAUUGUGGACUACAUCUAUAAUUAGGGGGCUAGUUGGACAUUUAGGAAUAAUACCCUUCUUUUUUGUUCUACAUAGUGCAAUAGAGCUGAAUGGGAGGUUGUUCUCCUCUAACUCGUGCAUUGCUCUAACUUCCAGUAAAUGACACAUAGGAAGAAAGAAAGAAUUGGCCAAGAAGACUAUGCCACCCUAGGAGUGGCUGUAGAUUCUCUACUCGAUGAUGUGGGUGAGGAUAAUCCCCCCACUACUAAACUACCUUAUUCUUCUACACCGGAACAGACUCCACCAGUACCUACUUCUACUGAGGGUGCAACGAUCCCUCCCAUAGAUAUUAUUGUUCCACCUCCAACCUAGCUUCUGGUUCUGGUAUUAAUGAUAGGAAUCUUAAGGGAGCUAUCUAGAUACUGACACGAAUAUUGGCUUCCUAGGCCCAAAAAUUGAAUGUUGUCUCGCAUCUUCUAGCUAGCAAGGGAAUUCUAUUGGUUUUAGGAUGAACAUGUUUCUCUGUUAGAUCCUCCGGUAUUCACGGGUGCAAGUCCCAAGGAGGACCCACAUGACUUCAUUAAUGAGAUGCAUAAGACUAUCCGGGUUAUGCGCGCUACUUAGAUGAGGGGAGUGGGCUUGGCCGCCCAUCGCUUGAAAAUGGUGGAAUAUUCUUGGUUUGAGCUAUGUGAGGACUCUCGUUGGUAGGCGAGUUUUCCGGCCAGGCAGAGUGAGUUUGUAAAUGCUUUCAUGGAUCAUUUUUUGCCUGCCGAGACUAAGGCAGCCCAUGGCACUGAGUUUGAGAACUUAAAACAAGGAAACAAGAGUAUGUCGGAGUACCAUAUUGAGUUCAUGUGCUCUUCCAAGUAUGCUAUUUAUAGGAAACCCACCAUGGGGGCCAGAGUGCGCUAGUUUGUACAUGGCCUUAGCCCUUUUGUUAUUAAUGAGGCUUCCACAACUAUUUUAAAUUCUAAGAUGAACUAUGGAAAGAUUAUGGCAUUUUCUCAAGCUGCAGAGACCCCUAAGUUAAAGAACAUAAUGUAGAGAGAGGGUAGCUGUAAGGCCCGAUCCAUGGGCCAUCCUGGAGAUUUGUUUGGUAGAGGAAGAUCAGCUUUUAGGGGAGGAUCAUUAGGACCAUCUCAGUCCUAUGCACAGUCUUCAGCCAGUACACUGCCAGCAAGGUCUAGUCAGCAUCAAGCUACUCGUUUUAGGGCAGCAGGGGACCCCACUAGCAGGGUUGAUCAGGAGGGAGAUUCAAGCAGCAGCGGAGGACCCCAUGCCUCUAGUAUGAGGGGAUGCAUUUGUGGUUCUAUUACAUGGACCUACCGGUAUGUUACGAGUGUGGUAUGAGAGGUCAUAUUCAGAGGGAGUGUCGUGCAUCCCGCCAGGGUGUGGGCAGGGGAACAACACAACCGUCCAGUUCUAUAGAUGCUACAUAUUCAACACCCCUUCUAGCUCGAAGCACUCCAGUGCAGCUAGGAGUGGUGCACCGAGUUCAGGAGGGCCAAACUGUUUCUAUGCUAUGAGUGGUCUCCAGAGUGUAGAGGCUUCUCUAGAUGUUAUCACAAGUAUAUUGACUGUCCAAUCUCAUGAUGUGUAUGCCUUUAUUGAUUCCGGUUCCACCUAGUCCUAUGUUUCUCCUUACGUUGCUAUGGAAUUUGGGAUAAAACCGGAGCAACUCCAUGAACCAUUCUCUGUGUCUACUAUAUGUUGGUAAGUCUAUUAUGGAUGUAUAGGUUUGUAGGGGUAUGUUGUCAUGGUAUGUGGCCGGGACACCGUGGCCGAUCUCGUCAAAUUAGGGAUGGUCGACUUUGAUAUAAUUAUAGGGAUCGAUUGUCUUUAUUCAUGUUUGGCCAAGCUUGAUUGCUGAACUGGAACUAUGAGGCUUGAAUUUCCAAAUGAGCCAGUUGCCAAAUGGAAAGGGAUACUGUGGUUCAAAAAGGUAGGUUUAUUUCUUACCCUAUGGCCGCGAAGAUGAUUAACAAGGGGUGUAUCUAUCAUUUGGUCCAGGUCACGGGCACUGAUGCUAAAACAUCUACACUUGAGUCUAUGACAGUUGUGAAUGAAUUCCCAUAUAUUUUCUCGGAUCUGCUCUUUGGUAUCCCGCCAGAAAGGAAGAUUGGUUUUCGAAUUGAUGUGAUGCCAGGAACACAUCCUAUAUCGAUGCCACCUUACAGAAUGUGACCGAUAGAAUUGAAGGAGCUAAAAUAACAACUGAAGGAUUUGCUAGAGAAGGUUUUCAUUCGACCGAGUUUGUCUCCUUGGGGCGCACAGAUUCUCUUUGUAAGAAAGAAAGAUGGGUCGCUACGGUUGUGUAUUCACUGCCGGCAACUCAACAGUCACAAUAAAAAACAAGUACCCAUUACCAAGGAUAUAUGAUUUAUUUGAUCAAUUACAAGGUGCUAAGUACUUCUCCAAAAUUAAUUUACGGUCUAGAUAUCUUCAAUUGAAGAUUACGGAGCAAGAUAUUCCAAAGAUGGAUUUCGGGACCCGGUGUGGGCACUCUGAAUUUCUAGUAAUGUAUUUUAGGUUAAGAAAUUCCUCGAAAACUUUCAUGGAUCUUAUGAAUCGAGUCUUCAAGCAUUUUGUUGACUCCAUUAUGAUAAUGUUCAUUGACGAUGUUCUUGUAUAUUCACGAAGCCGAGGGGACAUGCCGAUCACCUCAGGGUAGUUCUGCAGACUUUUAUCAGCACCAAUAGUAUACGAAGUUUACUGAAUGUGAAUUUUGGCUUGAAUCUAUUACAUUCUUGGGUCAUUCCAUCUCUAGAGAAGAAAUUAAGGUUGAUCCUCAAAAGAUUGCGGCAGUGGAGAAUUGGCCUAGACCCACAACUCCAAUAGAGAUUCGUAGUAUCUUGGGUUUGGCCAGGUAUUACAGGAAGUUUAUGGAGAGCUUUUCUACUCUUUACUUUCCAUUGACUAAGUUGACACAGAAAGCGGUUAAGUUCCAAUGGUCUGAUGCUUGUGAAAGGAUCUUCCAAGAGUUGAAAUCAAGAUUGACUUCGGCCUCAGUAUUAACCCUGCCAGAGGGCACAUAUAGGUUUGUGGUAUAUUGUGAUGCUUCAAGAAUUGGGAUUGGGUGUAUAUUAAUGAAAUUUCAUAGGGUUAUAGCUUAUAGGCAACUCAAGAAUCAUGAAAAUAACUAUCUAACACAAGUCUUAGAACUCGCGGCGGUGGUUUUUCAUUAAAAAUUUGGCAUCAUUAUCUGUAUGGGGUCCAUGUGGAUGUAUUCAUAGACCACAAGAGACUUCAAUAUAUUUUCAAACAGAAGGAGUUGAAUUUGAGGCGGAGAAGAUGGCUUGAGUUACUCAAAGACUAUGGCAUUGAUAUUCUAUAUCACCCGGGAAAAGCCAAUGUUGUGGAGGAUGCUCUUAGCCGGAAAUCCAUGGGAAGUUUGGCUCACUUGGAGGCAUAUCAAAGGCCGUUGGCCAGAGAGUUUCACUAGUUUUCUAGUUUGGGAGUUCAUCUUGCGGACUCUAAUGAAGAAGGAGUAAUUAUGCAGAAUAUGGCCGAAUCAUCGUUUGUGGUGGAGGUCAAGGAGAAGCAAUACAAUGACCCAUUGUUGGUAUGGGUGAAGGAGGGAAUUCAUAAACAUAAAACUAUGGCUUUUACUCUUUGCAUGAAUGAUGGCACACUAGGGUAUCAAGGUCGACUAUGUGUUCUAAAUGUAGAUGAUCUCUAGGAAAGAAUCAUGGCUGAAGCUCACACUUCCAGGUAUUCGGUGCACCCAGGUUCUACAAAAAUAUAUCAUGAUCUUAAGGAAGUCUAUUUGUGGAAUGACAUGAAAAGAAAUGUGAUGGAGUUUGUGGUAAGGUGUGCAAAUUUUCAGCAAGUGAAGGCUGAACAUCAACAUUCUGGUGGGUUAGCACAAAGCAUAGAGGUCCCAAUGUGCAAAUGGGAAAUGAUUAAUAUGGAUUUUUUGGUAGGGUUAUCGCACACUCUAUGAGAGAUUCUCUCAAUUUGGGUGGUCGUGAAUCGACUAAGGAAAUUAGCACACUUCUUUUUCAAUUAAAUUUACCGACACAGCGGAACACUAUGCUCAUUUGUAUAUCAAGGAAAUAGUCAGGCUUCAUGGUACUCCAGUUUCCAUCAUUUCCGAUCGAGGCACUCGAUUCACAUCUAAUAUUUGGAAGAAAUUUCAGCAAGAUUUGGGUACGUAGGUAAAUCUUAACACUGCCUUCCAUCUACAGACUGACGGGCAAGCAUGGCGGACUAUUCAGAUGCUUGAGGACGUGUUGUGUGCUUAUGUUCUUGAUUUCAAGGGUAGUUGGGAUGAUCAUUUUCCACUCAUAGAGUUUGCUUAUAACACCAGCCUCCAGGCCAAUAUUCAGAUGGCACUAUUUAAGGCAUUGUAUGGUAGGAGAUGUAGGUCUCCCAUUAGGUGGUUCGAGAUUGGGGAAGCUGAGUUGAUAGGGUCAGACCUUCUGCAUUAGGCCAUGGAGAAGGUUAAGAUCAUAAAGGAACAGUUUAAAACUGCUCAAAGUUGUCAAAAAUCCUAUUCGGAUGUUCGUCGCAGAGACUUGGAGUUCAAAGAAUAUGAUUGGAUAUUCUUGAAGGUUUCCCCCAUGAAGGGUAUUAUACGAUUUGAGAGAAAAAGGAAAAUAGGUCUGCGGACCGCAGAUCGGUACCAGACUGAGUCAGAAACUCUAGUUCUUUAGGGCUAUCUUGCAGCCCAUUACGCAGACCGCAGAUGCAUGAAGCAUUUUCAUCCGGUAGAUUUGUGUCGGGGCUCCAAAUUUCUAAUUUUUAGGCCUGAUCCUAUGUCGAUAUAUCUAAUGCCGUACUUCAUGAUGACCCUAUUUUCUUGUGUUUUUAGACUAAGAAAGAGAGUCUUAGAGAGAGAAAGUGUUCUUCGUCAAAAUUACUCCUAAAUCCUUGUUUAAACCUUGAAGAAUGUCAAGAGAGGCACCUAGGUCUUCUUUCUAGAAGGUAAUAUUCAGUCACUCAAACUCUUUAUUUCUAAAUGUGACUAGAAUGGUCCAUUAGAAAUGUAAAUCCUGGGGAUAGGAGUGAUUAUCUUGCAUGCAUGUGUUAUAAAAGAGUGUAGCAGAUUGUGACCUUAAAAUGGUGAAGAAUGGGGUGUUGGAUGAUGAAAUAUUUCACAAGAAGGUCUUAAAAACAUAUUGCACACCUAGUGUUUGAUAAUGUGAUAAAAUGAGCUAGAAUCUUGAUCAUCCUUCUAAUUUUUGAUUCAACUUGUUAUAUUCCUAAAAUAGAAUGAAGGUGCUAAGAGUUACCAUAUUAUUGUAGAAUUUAGGGAAAUAUCAAUUGAGGUAUGUAUGGCUAAACCUCCUUUUUCUUAGAAUCGAAACCCCUAGUGUUUGUGUAGUUGGUGUAAGUCCCCAAAUUGAUCAUACUAGAAUUGAUUUCGCCUAAUGUUUUGUGUUGAAUGAUACAUGUUCAGUAUUUGUUAUAAAAUGCUUAUCAUGUCACCAUACCAUUUGAGGAUGUGUUUAAAAAUGUUGAAUAUGUGUUGAGAAAUGUUAAGAAUUCAUUUAAAAAAAUCGAAUAAAAUUUGCUAUGCCAAUUUGUAUGAAAAGCCUCCGUGUGCUUAGAAUUUUCCAAUAUUGUCCCUUAUGUGUGCAAAUUCCUUACAUGAUAGGCCUUAUUGUUGCCGAUGAUAAUAUUAUUGAAUGAGUAAAAAGGGAAUCUUUAUCUGUGAAAUACAUUCAAGUGCCAAGAAUAACUUAAUAAAUGAGGCCCCUCGUGCCAAUGCAUUGAAAUAUGGUAAUAUAUAUGAAGUGAAAUGAUUGAUUGAAAGGUUGAUGUCUCAAGUGAAAUGGCCUAGUCGAUAUGGCCUAGAUGAUAUGGCCAUUAUCAGACUCCAUGCGGUACACACGGUAGUAACUGUGAUGGAAAUGAUUGAUUGAAAUAGUGGAUAUGGUUGAUGUCUCAAAUGAGAUGACUUAGCCGAUUGGGUCAAGAUCAGACUUCGUGUAAGAACACGACUGUAUUUUUGAUUGUGGCACAUGGCACUAAAGAUUAUUGUUUACCUCAAAAAAUGUAAGUAACAACUAAAGAUAAUUUGUGGUUUUAAAGAUAUGUAGUUUAUUCCAAUACUAGUGAAUAUAUAAGUAAUAUUAGGUUUAAGUAAGAAUGAUUGAUGAAUCAAACCAGUGUUGUGAUAGCAUAGGGGACCUCUAGCUUGAUUAUCUCGGGGUCCUCGAGGUGAGCUAAGAGCCAAUAAAGUAUGAACAAUAAAGUAAAAAUUAUAAAACUGAAGAACAAUUGUUGCGCACGGUAAACAAGAAAAGCAGAGUAAAAUAUUCUGUGGCAGUGAAUGAGAUGAUGUUUACAAAGAUUGGGGUAUAUAGAAGGGGAGAACCUCAAUAUGGUACAUUUUCAAUUAUGGAAAAGAAUUCUAUUGGUACAGCUGUAUAACAAUCCAGUACGGACUUGUACUAUUCCGUACAAACCUUAUCCCUUAAUUUAUACACUGACUCACGUCUUGAGAAAUUCUCUCCCUUUCUUGAGUGUUCUCGCAAUUGUACUUCCCUCGAGGAAGACCCUGUCCGGUCUUCGAUUUACUCGAGGUAUGCAUUUUCCAGUCAGCUCUGGUCUUCACUGCGUGCUACCCGAAUUCGAGUCCCGAGGUUCCGUUAAGUCCUCAAAAUUGAGCUCUCUAAUUUUGAUCAUACACAAUUAUCCAACAUAAUAAUACAGAACUUAUCGUGAGAACAUAUAUGAAUCCUUACUUGAUGCUUCGGUAUUGAUUAAAGCUAUAUGGAAGUCAUAACUGUUUCUUUCCUUUGUAUUAUUGUUCAUUCUAUCGAGAUGGUGUUUUAGCUUUACAUACUAGUACUAUUCUACAGUACUAAUGUGCCUUUCAUCGGGGGUACUGCAUCUUUAAAUAGAUGUAGGUGGUUGCAUAGCAGACAUUUGUUGAUUGCAUCUAGUUGUACAUCAUCAUCAUCAUCUUCCCAGCAUGCUUAGUAAGCCCCAUUUCAUUAUGAGGUCAUGUAUUGUAUCCUUUGUUCAUAUUUUAUCACAUUUUGAGGAGCAGGCGAGGACAUGUUGCCGGCAUUAUCAUAACUAUAUUUUGUAUCUUCAGAGGCUUUGUAGACAUUAUGUGGUUUGUGUAUGGGUGCUAGAAAGCUCAGACGAAUUAUGUUGUGUUUUGGAUUCUUAUCCACUAAAUCGUAAAGUGUAUGUGAUUUGGGAACUUAACAAUGAUGUAGGAAAAAUGAAAUGAAAUGAAUUAAUAAUGUAUAUAUAUAUAUAUAUAUCUAUAUAUAUAUAUAUAUCUAUAUAUAUAUAUAUAUAUAUAUCUAUAUGAUCCUUCUACUUUUAAACUAAUGGAAACACGCCUUCUCUUGAUCAUAAAUGAGUUGGGUUGAAAGUGUCUAACAAGCUUGCUCGAUCGAGUCUACUCAGUUGAGUGAGGAUCGCACUCCCCGAGGAUGUGGCAUGACCGAUUUCUUCCGCAUUAUGCCUAUUUGUUUGAUAUUUUUCUUGAAUUUUAUAACUCACAAGUAUAUUCGUGAGUGGGGUUAGUGACCCAUCAAAGUUUCAUAUUCUGAUGGGAUUAGGCUGAAAGCCUCAACAAUACUCCUAUGGAAUCGAGUGGUUCGCCUCGACGGUAGCAUGUAAUACACUCGUAUGGGUGAUCGAAGCCAACUCUACACCUAUACAAAGUGGAGAGAGGAGUAGAAGCAACUUUUACCCGAGAUGGUCGGGAUCGAAUCCACAGGGAGCUAGAAGUGGGAAUUGGAUUCCUAUCUAAACUAGAGAUACAUAGUGCUUUUAAUUGCUCUUCCAAUCAUAGUUUGUCUUUUUAUUACUUUUAAUAUUAUGCUAACCAGAUGCUAAAUUAAGCUAAACUAUCUAAACUAGAGAUGCGUAGUGCUCUUAAUUACUCUUCCAAUCAUCUUUUGGUUGGAUAUUACUUCUAAUAUUUAUGCUAAUGAUAAGCUAAAUUAAACAGAGAAUGAUUUCUUGUAGGGAUUUCUAAUUAGUUAAAGAGGCACUAGGGAAAUGACUUUCUCCUAAGUGAAUACUUGACGAGAUCUAAAGCCUAAGGCAAAGACGUUAUGUUGGGCAUUGUGAUAAAGCCAAUGCAUGGAAUUACUCACUCUAUACCUCUUGGUAGCAUGAGUGACUUUGCCCUAAUUGACUUUCUCAAGACCAAUUGGAUGUCAAAAUUGUACAAGCAAUAUAGGCUCAAGUCGGGUAUUACUAUCUCUAGGUUUAACCCUUAAUUGGGGCUAUCAAUUUAUUGAUUACACCCCAAUUCCUUGUUGGACUGAUUUCCUAGACUCAAGCUCUCUUUAUCAAGAAGAUCCCAAGUCAAAUAGGCACAAACUAGUGUUUGCAACCACUAGUUGAACAUGGAAAACACAAAUCAAUCCAAAUAUCAACUAUCCAUAAAAGUCUAAGCCUUAAAUCAAAAGACCCAUCAAAUACCCACACUAGGGUUGAGCCAAAAUCCUAGCUAAUUGGUCUAGCUACUCAUAAUAAUGGAAGAAAACAGAGAAAUAGAUGAAGAAUAACCCAUAUGAUUUAAUUACAAACUAAGAGAAAGAAGAUCCAUUGUUAAUAUAGCUACAAAUUACUCAAAAUAGCCUAAUACAGCUGUUCAUGUGCUAUGCUUAAUGUUAGAUUACAAAACAUGACCUAAAAAUGUGAAAAGAAAGUAUUUAUACUAGGCCAAUUUUUUGGACAAAAAUACCCCUGAUGAGGUACUUCGGUCCGUAUAAAAUGCACCACGGACCGCAAUGAGGCCUCUUGACUUGAAUAAUCAUCCUCUGAAUUUGGCCACCACGGGCUGCAUAAAAUGCACCGCAGUCGUGGUGGCUUCGACAGUGGUCUGCACAAAAAAGACUGCAGACCGUGUUGGCCUUAAUCUCCAAACUCCCAACUCUAUAAACCACAAUCUUUGCAGAUCGCACAAAAUUGGUUGCGGUGCAAAGAGGCCACUGCGACCGCAUGAACUCCUUCGCGGUCCGCAUUGCCUUAGGCUCCAAAGGUGUACCUAUCUGAAUCUCCUCACUGCAGACCACACAAAAUGGCUUGCGGCCACGGUGGGUAUGUUGAAGCUGUGCUUUGACUUGUUCUUGGUACUUGUGUAUGUUUCACUCCUUUUUACAUUGUUUUGACUAAUUGUCACCUUUUUGACCAAAUGUUGCAAACAAGUACAACAUGUAAGCCUUUGGGACUAUUUUGUAUACAUUUUUAAUCAAAACUCAAAUAAAAAGGAGUGUAAAAUGAAUUUGAAUUCCUAAUUAUCAACUCCCCCAAACUUAAGUUGUUGCUUGUCCUUAAGCAAACAAAAUAAAACCCACCUCUUAAGAGUAAAUCUAAGAGAAAAAGGCGUGCAAAAUGAACUAGAAUCCUUAGUUAUCAACUCCUCCAAACUAAAGCGUUUGCUUGUCCUCAGGAAACAAAAUAAGUUCCACAUCUUAAGAGUAAAUAUAAGAAAAUUUAGCUAACCUAAAGUGACCUCAUCUAGAAUCAAUUAGGACUAACAAUUGCCCUCAAUUUAAAUGAAUCAUUAAAACCAUUCGACCUUCUAAGCACCAUGGAUUUAGUGUGACAUAACAACAUCAAGAGUUGACUCAAUCUAUCAAAGAAACUCUUUUUACUACAUUGGUCAUUGUGAAACCCAAACUCAUACUCCUAAACUCUCCCUAAGCAAACCUUACUUUUAGAUUGUAGCACUCAGAAUGAGGAUUAUGGAAAACACACUCAUCUCUCUCAAAGGAACGUUACAAGCCUGGACCUAAGUACCAUAAGCUUGCCCCUUAUGUGAGUCACUACUUAUGUAAGCUUCAUUCAACUCAAGAUCAUAUAGGGCUUUUUUGACGGGCUAUUCCCCAAGCAGAACAACCUGCUUUCGUUUUAGGGUAGGAAAUAUUUGGUCUAGGUAGGUUCCAUCUUCCCUUAUGCACUUCAUUUGCUUCAUUUUGAUACACAUUCUCUUGACUUUUGGAGUCAUUAACUUCUUUCUUAGGGGUUAGAGAGACACACUGUCACUUUUUCUUGUUCAUUUAAAACCCUUUUCUCCUUUCUCAACUUUCUGCACCUUUCAUUUCUUUACUCUUAUUGAAUCCCUUCAUUCAUUUAUUUCUACAUCGAUCAUUCAUUUUGACUUUUUGAUUUUCUUUCUUUUUCAUUGCUUUUCCUUUUCUUCAUUUAUACCUCUUACUAAUUUGUUGCAUUCCUCGUCUCUCCUACCAAAGUUAUGCUUUUUCCUUGUGCUAAUUGUCAUGGCAAAGUCUUCAAAAGAUAGAGUUUCUCCAGAGUCAGAAAUGUAAUCGCUAUUCAGGAAACAACUAGUUACAGAUGAAAGGGCCGAGAUCAAGUGGUUGAAAUAAUCAAGGCCACAUAAACAACCACCGUUUCAAACUGACAAAUGGUUCUUUGUUUGAAAAACAGGAAACAAGUGUAAUUCAAAGCAACCUUGCAAGACGUAGGUACAACAAAAAAGAAACUGCGCAAGGGCUAGAAACAACUUUGCAGCAAUAAUCCAAAAAAGGAAGUCCCCUCCAAAAUUCUUUCCAGCAUUUACUCAUUCUAUGAAAUAAAAUAAAUAAACAAAGAAGAAGAAAAAUGAUGAAAAUGAAAGAAAGAAGAAGAAGAAGAAGAAGAAGAAGAAGAAGAAGAAGAAGAAGAAGAAGAAGAAGUAUGGUAGCCUAGGGUCCCCAAUCUCUAGCUACAUUUUUCUAACAUAGGGUCUCAUUCCCUAGCUGUUGCUAGUAUAACAUGGUAGUCUUUUCCAGUAUAGGGUCUCACUCCCUAGUUGAUCCCUGACAGAACCUGACCACCUUUCCGGAAUAGCACGAUGACCUUUCUGGCAUAACCUGAUGACUUCCCCGGUAUAACCCGAGGACCUUUCCGGCACAACCCGAUAACCUCCCGGUAUAUCUCGAGUACCUUUUCCUGCAUAACCCGAUGACCUUCCCCGACAUAACCUGAGGAAUUUUUGACAUAAAUUGAUGACCUCCCUGGCAUUACUCAGCACAACCCGAUGACUUUCUCGACAUAACCCGUGGACCUUUUCCUGCAUAACCCGAUGACCUCCCCAACAUAACCCGAUGACCUUUUCCGGCAUAACCCAAUAACCUCCCCGGCAUAACCCGAGGACCUUUUUCCAGCGUAAUCCGAUGACUUUUCUGGCAUAACCCGUGGAACUUUUUGGCUUAACCCGAUAACCUCCGCAGCAUAACCCAAGGACCUUUUUCGUCAUAACCCGAUGACUUUUUCGGCAUAACUCGUGGACCUUUUCCGACAUAAUCACCUUUCCUGACAUAACCCGAUGAUGGUCCCCAACAUAACCCCAGGACAUAUUCCAGCAUAACUCGAUGACCUACCUGGCAUAACCCGUGGACCUUUCCGGUAUAAACUGAUGACCUUUCUCGGCAUAGCCCAAGGAUCUUUUCAGCAUAACUCGAUUAUUUUCCUAACAUAACCUAGUAAUCUUCCCAAAUUGCUCUGAUCUCCAUUUGAUUUUAUUUCAGAUAUAGGGCUCCACUCCCUAAUAUCUUUUCUCCCAAGGAUACAUAAUCCUGAUUUUAUUUCUUUCAAUAAAGAAGUAGUUUAAAGUUUUGUUACAAUAACUCACGAAAUUUUCCUAGUGAAAACUAUGGCAGAAAAAUUUUAUUCGUUUGUUUGUUUUGGUGCCUGAAUAGGUUUUUAACUUGUGGCACAAGUUUUGAGAUGACCAAAAGAAGAAGUCUUGAUCCAUAAUAAAAGGAAAAAGGAGAACAAGAAAAGAAGUGAACUCAAAGUGUAGAAGCGGUGAAACGACGCAGACUGCUCAAGAUAUGAUUGAAGUCGCAAGCUUUGCAUGUCGUGCCUUGAUCCAAAAAGCUGAAGAAGAAUGAACCAGUGGUCGCAGCGAACGAGCAUCAAGAUUAUGGUUAUAGUCUGUAGGAAGAGCCAGCCAAGACUCAAGAUGAAGCUUUAGAAGGUUUAUAGUUAGGAAUCUUGUAACUCGUAGUUGAUAGGCUUAGCUAGUCUAGAUUUUCAUGUUUCAUUUUGGUGUAAUAAGGAGCUCACCAGGUAGAAAUAACAACAACAGCAGUGAAAUCACAAUUUCUAGAUAGUUCCAGCUAUCAAAACUUCUAGAACUACACUAACCUGAUUCCUUUAUAGCUAAAGAAAUGAAGGCAACCUUCGGAGCAAGGCUCGGUCAAACUUCUUAAGAACGCUUCUAGAUCGAGUAUCAAACAGGAAAAAAUUGCUCUUAUUGCCUUACUUUAUCUUUGCCCAAAAACUUUUCAUGUUUCUAAGCAAAGAGGUGUAGCUGUGAGCACCUAAUUUUUUUCCUACAUGAAAAUAACUUCUAAAAAUAGACCAAAAAUAAUUUUAAUUUAUUUUAGGAGUUCUUCUUUAUUUAGUUGCAUUCCAUGCAUUUUUAUCUUUUUUAAAUCAUAGAAAAAUCAUAAAAAAUGAUCAUGUUUUAAUGUGACGACCCGACCAGUCAUCUCAUGAAUUACCGCUCGGUUACCCCCAUUUCUCCUUCUUUAUACUUGGUUGUUUGUAUUUUGUGGUAUCGGGUUGGUAGGAUCGAGUUCGGAAUAAAUUUUUAUAAGGUUUGAGACACUUAGUUUCUUAAGGAAGCUUAAGUUGGAAAAGUCAAUCGAAUGCUGAAUUAUGUGAUAGAGGGCUCAGACAUGAGUUCUGAUGGUUUGAUUAGCUUCGGGAGGUGAUUUGUGACCUAGGAGUGUGAUCGGAAUAGGUUUUGGAGGUUCAAAGUAAAAUUUGGCUUGCAUUGGCGAAGUUGAUAUUUUGGCGAUUUAAUAGUUGGUAGGUGAGAUUUUGAUCCGAGGGCUAGAACGAUAUUAUGAGUGUUUCUAAAGCUUCAUUCUGUCAUUUGGGAUGUGUGUGAAAAGUUUAAGGUUAUUCGGACGUGGUUUGGUAGGUUUUUUAAUCGAAGGCGUAUUUCAGAAGUUUUAGAAAACUUAGGCUUGAAUUCGAUGAGUUUUAGGUAAUUUGAUGUUGUUUAAAGUUGGUUUGAUGAUUGAAAUAAGUUUGAAUGAGGUUUUAGGAUGUGUUGGUGCUUUUCGUUGAGGUCUCAGGGUCUCGGGUGAGUUUCAGGUGGUCAAUCGAACCAUUUUCUAAGUUAGAUGUUGAAGAUUUUUGGAACAGCUGUUGCAGAAGAUUUACCCUUUGAGAUCGCGAUCGUGUAAGAGGAAUUUGGAAGUCCAGGAUUUAAACCUUCGUGUUCGCACUUGAGGGCUCCCGUUUGCAGAAAAUUAGUAGUUUGUGCUUCGCUUUCGCAUGAGGAGGUCCGCUUUCGCGUAUAAGGAUUUAGGUCCAGUAGAGUUUGUUCUUCGCAUUCGCGUGUGGAGGACCGCAUUCGUGUAGGUAUAAAUUUCUGAAGCAUCGCACUCGUAGAGAGUGAGUCACGUUCGUAUAAGGUUGAUUUUGGGAAAUUUGAAAGUGUGCUUCGCGAUCGCGUGGCUGAGGUCGCGAUCGCGAUGAAGGAGGAUCACAACUGGGCAGAAAGCUUUUAAGUUAUUUCAUCCGCGAUUUUGGGUCAUUUCUACUCCAUAGUUGAUUCUUUUGAGAGCUUUUUUAAGGUGAUUAAAGAGGGAUUCAAGGAGAGUUGGUUGGAGGUAAGAUUUUUGAACAUAAAACGUGAUUCUAUUGUGAAAUUAACCUAGAAAUUCAUGGAGCUUAAGCUAAAAAUGGAAGACCUACGGCUUGAGAUUUCAAACUUUUGAAUUGGGAUUUGAAGGACCAUUUGAUGUUGGAUUUGAGAAAUAUGCAUAUGUAUGAACUCGUGGGGUGAUAAGGAAUCCAAUGAUGUGAAAAUUUCUGAGUUUCGCAAAGUGGGCCUGGCGCUCGAGUUCUGGUAGUUUCAGGAUUUGUGUCUGUUAUUGAUUGUUUUCACUUGGGCAUUGUUCCCUUAGUAUAUUGUAAUGUAUUUGUUCUGAUUUUGAUAGAUUCGACGCACGUGGAGGCCAAUUUAAGGGGAAAAGGCGUCACGAGCUAGAGAUUUUACCGGAUUGAGGUGAGUAAUGAUUGUAAAUCAUAUUCUUUGGGUUGAAAUCCCAGAUUGCACAUCGUAGUGCUACAUUGAGGUGAAUUGCACACCGGAUAUCGAGCAUGGGGUAGAGCACUAUUGGGGAUUGUGACUUGGUCCAUCUCGAUUGAUGAAUUUACCGCGUAUUUGACUGAAACUUACUUGUUGUCAUCAUGUUUUGGGCUGAUUGCCAUAUUUGGCUUCGUGCUAACUAUCUGAACCCUUUGGGGAUUUUUAUCACUAUUUCCUCACUAUAUUGACUUAUUACUUGAACCCAGUCAUGCUUUUUUCCAUUGUUUUACAACUCGGCCACUUUUGCUCAGUUUGAGACUUAAAUGAUAUUUUUAAAUGAGAACUAUGUUUCACUAUUGCCCGAGGGGCUUGUGAUGAUUUUCAAACUGAGUGCAGCCGAGGGCCAGAUGUGAGGAUACACUGAGUGAUAUGAGGCCGAGGACCUGAGAUACAUAUAUGCGCCAUGAGGUUUCUCGAGUGAUAUGAGGACGAGGGCCUGAUUUGAUGCCACGAGAUGCCUUGAUAUUGCGCUUGAGGUGUAAGGGGCCCCUCCGGAGUCUGCACACUCCCAUGAGCGCGGAUACCUAUUGUGAUCACAGAGUGAGCCCGAUGGGCUGAUAUUGUUCUGAGAGUGAGCCUGGGGGUGGUGGUACUAUUCUAUGUGUUUACUUUACUUCAAUUGUCUGCCAUUACUUGUUGAUUGGGUUACUUUAUAUGUUAUCUUCCUGAUUGCCUGCAUUAACUGUUGAUUGAGUGUUGUUCCCGAGGGGCGGGUUUCUGUGCUUAUCUGCACUGAUUGUUUUGCAUUCAUUUGCAUAACUGUUGAAAAAGUCAGUUUCAAAAGACGUUUAAACUGAGCUAAGAUGUUUUUAAGAGAUUUCAAAACUUCAUUAUUUUUCUUAAAUGACUUUUACACUACUUCUAUACGGCAUGUUGAUGCGCUUUAUGAGAUUUCUUACUGCUUAGUUGUUAUUUGCCUUUAUUACUCACUGGGUUGGAGUACUCACUUUAAUCCCUACACCUUGUGUGCAGAUGUAGGUAUUUAUACACCCGGUAGCGGGCUUUUGGCUGAUUGGAGGAAGCGAGGUGUUGUCAACAUUCAUAGCACCGCUUUUCUCCCUUUUCAUUCAUCAGUCCUAUUUUAUAUAUUUCAGACCUUGUAGUUAUAUUUGUACUCUAAUAGAUGCUCAUGACUAGUGACACCCCCGGUUUUGGCUGUGUUUGGGUUGUACUUCCGCAUUGUUAUGGUGACAUCUGUUGUUUAGUAAUUAUUAAAUCAUGUUUUAGCACGCUAUAUUGCUGUUUAGUUGUUGACUUCGAAUUGGAGAUGUGUCGGCUAGCCUUGUCUUUACGAGAGGCGCCAUCACGAUCGGGUAUGGGUUUAGGGUCAUGACAAGUUGGUAUCCGAGCCUAGGUUACAUAGGUCUAGUAGAGUCUCGCGAAUCAGUAUAGAUAUAUCUGUGUUUAUCUUCGAAAGGCUGUAGAACCUUUAGGAUCACUUCACAUUCUUGAAUUCUUAUCUUGCAUCCGUGAUGCAGCUUGAAAUAUAACUCUUUGAAUUCCUCUCACGUAUUCGUAUGCACGAAUGAGUGCUUAGUAUUAGAUGUGCAUCGAUGUCUUGUGAUUUCUUGAUUGAGGGGCGAUAUGUGAUCCCUAUGAGUUGAUGUUGGGCCAGUCUAGAGGACUUCAGGCCGGAUCUUUGCCUAUGGCUUGAGCACCGAGGUGCUGAUUGUAUGAACAAUUGUUUUUGAACUUAUAUGUUCGGUGGUGUCCUUGUUAGUGGAAGUGAUGGAUGUGGCUGUGUGAUGAGUAUGUUGUGACUGCGGGAUAUAUUUAUAUGAUUUGUAAGCGACAAGAAUGGUCUGCUGGAGGAUAGAAGACUAGUAGGUAUUUGAUUUUUAUUCUGAUUUGAGGUAUAGCCCCGAGUAUGGGCGUGUGAAGAAUCUUUUCAUGCCUCAUAGUUGAGAGGAGUAAAUUUCAUGUUGUGAUAUAAGUUCAAACUCAGGAAGACUAAGUGAUUGCGUAGUGGAUAUGACGGUGGAAGGUGUACAGAAAUGCCAGCUUGAGGCAAAGUAGGUGGGUUACCUCCUGCGGAGUGUUCUGAGUUUUUGUGAUCCUUAUGUCGUCUGUAAGAAAAUCUCAAUUUCUAGCGAAAGAUAUAUGUUUUGUAAUUUAAAUCUGGGUCGCUUAUGAGAAUGGGUUUAAUUUUUACGAGAGUAAAUGUAAGAUUUAUAGAAGACAUGAAGUACCAUAUGGUAUGUGUUCUACGAGCUUAUGAAGGAUUGAGUUAAUCUCACUGUGAUAUUAUGGCAGCAAUAAUGUAUAUGCAUUAUGAGUUGUUGUGUGUGUUGAUCUAUGGCUUUGAGCCUAGUGGGGGGGGGGGGGGGGAGUUUGCAUUUGAUUAAUUGAAUGCACAAUUAUGUGCUAUGUUGGUUCCAGUUUGAGGCGUGCUGGUAAGUCAGUUAUGACUUACUAAGAUUGAGAACGAGGAUGGCUCGAGUAAAGGAAAAGUUUGACAAAGGUUCUAUUAUGCUUAUAGGGUAAGCGAAUCACGAAUUGACUUGAGUUGUUGUUGGUAAUGGAUGCUUAGUGCAUAAAGCAGGAAGUGGCUUGGUUGUUCUAGAAUGAGCUUACAUUCUGCGGCGUCAGAAUGCUAAUGAGGCACGGGUUGCUCUAUUCGUUUGAUCGGGCUAAUUGCAAAGUGAGUAGUGUGGAGGACUUGCGAGAAUGGCUCUAACGUGUUCAAGAUUCUACAUGUGGCAAUUGAGUGUCUUAAAGUUGUAUAUGUGAUUAGAAACAGAGUUUCCAUUAGAAGAGGUCAAGGCUUGUGGUAUUCCUAUGUUAAUUAUAGGAUUCUAUGUAUCAGUACCAGGAAGGUAAAGGUAACAAAUUUAGAUUUGCAGUAAGUUCUUCAGAGUAAAGUAUUUUGGAGUAUGAUACUUUUGGGAAUGUUUUAACAAAUAAUUCAGUGACUUAUAAGCCUUAGACGGUGUGGCUUUAUGCUUGGUUCCGUGUGGUAACUCUGAGUUGAGGAAUUGUGGUGAUGCAGCAAAAAAAAAGGGAAAAUAUCAAGUUGAAGAUGAAUCAGAAGGAAAUUUAGAUAGAUGGGGUAGCUUGGUAGUAGACCGGACCGGUAUCGUAAGGAUAUGAUUUUUUCCUUGUGUGUGUUCGAGGUAAUGAGUUCCUAUAGGUAUUUUACGAUAAUGCUCGUAGGUUUUGAUGGCUUGCUUAGCUUGGUCGAGUUAGAAGGAUUCAGUCCUGGCAGGUCUGAUUAUUUUACAGCAAUGCUCUUGGGGUUUGAUGGCUUUCUUAUCUUGGUCUAGUUAAAAAGACUUAAUCCUGGCAGUUUAAUUUGUGCAAAGGGGAAUUCGGAGAGUUCUUGAUGGUUUUUACCGUGGUUUGGAGAUGUAUAUUUUCUAUGGGCAUACGGAGCAUGGGAUGUAUAGUGAUUUUCUUCUAGGUGGGACCAAUAGAAAGUUCUUGACUAUUUGAGUACGUAGAUGUUUGUAGCUCGGAAGGGAGAUGAAGUUCUCAUAUUAUCCUAGGGUGGUAUGGUAUAUGCGAUAUGUUGUGGAGGAUUGAGAUUUGCGUGUGUAAGGUUACAAUUCAGUUCUGAAAUGAAAGUCAUAAAAUUCUUAGGCAGCACAGGCAGUUUGAGGUGAUUAGAGAAAUGAGCUUCAGAUGAUUAGGGUGAAUGAUCUUCAUAUGAUUAAGGAAAUAGUAUUGCUAAUCAUAGUGAUUUGAUGAAGGUAUAUGUUUCAGAAAAGGCAAUGUGAUUAAGUUGAUAGUACUUCGGUAGUAUUGCAAAGCUUUCUUGUUAGAUCUACUGCUGCUAUUCGAGUUUGCUUGAUGGCACGUCGGAAUUUUAGAAUAUAUUUCGUGGAAUAAUUAGGUACUUGAGGUGUGAUAUGUAUUCUGAUAAUGGAAUUUGGGAUCAUGUAUGGUGAUUUGUGUGCCAUAUGGGGUUGGAGACUGAAAGUUCUCAUGUUCAAGCUAUAUUGUUGUUGUGAGCCGCGUGUAUCAGCUGUUUAGUGACUAUCGAGGUCUGGACACCUGAGCGGAUCUUUUAUCCUUGGUAUGUUGGAUUUGGAAGUGAUAUUAGGUUCAGACUGGUUGUCCUCGUGUUGUGUCAUUCUAGACUAUUACGCCAAGGCGGCGCUGUUGGCCAUGCCGGGAAUGCCACGGAUUGACUGAGGAGGUGCGACAUAUUAUUUCCUAGUAGGGUGGUUUUAUAUUUCCAAAACCCAGCAGACGGCUGGGCAGGAUUUUCCCUUUUAUUUAGAUUUUCGUGAUGGAUAUCAGUGUAGAGGCUUCUACCAUUGAUUCAGUUCUGGUGGUGAGGGGUUCUUUGGAUGUGUUUCUUGUGGCGGGGCAUAUGACCGAGAAAGUUUGUUGAUUUCAGUAGUGAUUUGGUGCCUAGCACCAUAUUGUAUGGCAGCGACAAAGUUAUAGAGGUAGAAGGAAUAGCUUCAAGUUUCCUUGAUAAGGAGUUUAUUGGCAGGCCAAUGUGGGUGAGUGCUCUAUCUUGAGUCGGCUUGGUUAGCUCCAAAUUGCAUUGUUGAGGGAAGUAUAGAUUUGGCCGUUGUUGAGUUUAUCAGUGAUAUGGGGAGGUCUAUGAGUUAACUUUAUGUGUUGCAAGGUGUAAUGAUUUGUUUGGUUAUAGGCAUAUAUGGUGCAGUUCAUUUGGAGUCUCAUAGUGGAAUUCAAGCGGGAAGAGUAAUGAGGCGUUGCCCAGUGAAUGGCGUAUCGGUUAUGUCCUAUCGGGUUGUGUGGCGUAUGUUAUUUAUUUCAUAGUGGGUGUAAUGACUUGCUUUGGGUUCCAAAUAUCAAAUUGUGCGUGGCUGUCGAGCAUAAUGACUUGAGGUGUUUCAUGUGGAGCAGUGUUUGGAUAGGAUCGCACAUUGUAGCGAAGCUAUGUGGGGAUAUGACCUUUCGGUUAGAUUCAUGUGUUCUAUUUCAAUGAUGUGAUAUGGGUUCUCAGCCUUGUGUUGUGAUGGUACUGGUGAGCUUGAGGUACAACUCUUUCAUUUGAGUCACUUUCAUGAUUCGAGUAUGUUCGGAUCGUUGCUUAUUGGUGCGCGUAUUAUGCAAGUUGUGGCUUAAACCUAUAUUGAUGUGUCAUGUCAGCAGAGUGGUGUGUUGGAUUAGAGGGGAUCAUUGAUAUCAUUAAUGAAUAUGAACGGAUUCGAUUUUAGCAUGUUGGAAGGAUAAUAUCGAGGUUUGGCUGGGAAAAAUUACUACGGUAAUUGCCAAGGAGAAGUGGCUUCAUGAAUGGUUGACCUGAGAAAUGGUUAUGGCUUACCGCGUGUUUUAGUAUCAUUGGCAGUAUAUGAAAGUGUGGGAUGAGACAUUAGUUGAUGAGAGGUUUUCUACCAGUAUUUGGGUUAUGUGUACAACUGCCAUGAAUAGAAGUUAUCGUUAUGAGUGUUUGAGUUAUGUGAUAUAUCAUGUAAUUGCAGCUGAGGUUGCAUGUAUGGGUUAUUACCGCUGGUUCGGGAUUAUUAUGAAUACAGAUUUGGGGUUUUGAUCUUGUGUAUGAUUUCGAAAAUAGAAUAUGGUUCUAAGGUUUAUGGGCUAGAUUGGGUUGUGAAAUUUCAGUUACAAUAUGUUAUCGGACCUAGACGAGAUAGGGUGACGUGGAAUCACCCUCAGGUAUAUGCACAGUAAGGUUAUUCAGCGAUUGGUUGGCUUUUGGAACAACUUUGGGCAUGUUCAAGGACGAACGUUUGUUUAAGUUGAGGAGGAUGUGAUGAUUCGGCCAAUCGUCUAAUGAGUUACCGCUCUGUUUCCCCCAUUUCUGCUUCGCUAUACUUUGAUGUCCGUAUUUUAUGGUAUCGGGUUGGUCGGAUCGAGUUCGGAAUAAUUUUUGGUAAGGUUUGAGAAACUUUGUCUCUUUUAAGGAAGCUUAAGUUGGAAAAGUCAAUGGGAUGUCGACUUAUGUGUUAGAGGGCUCAGAUGUGAGUUCCGAUGGUUCGGUUAGCUUUGGGAGGUGAUUUGUGACUUAGGAGUGUAAUUGGAAUGGGUUUUGAGGUUCAGAGUAAAAUUUGGCUUGAGUUGGCGAAGUUGAUAUAUUGGCGAUUUUCCGUUGGUAGGUGAGAUUUUGAUCUGGCCGGAAUGGGAUUUUGAGAAUUGUUGUAGCUACAUUCUGUCAUUUGGGAUGUGUGUGCAAAAUUUCAAGCUAUUCGGACAUGGUUUGGUUGGGGUUUUUAUCGAAAGCGUAUUUCGGAAGUUUUUAGAAAAUUUAGGCUUUGAAUUCGAUAAGUUUUGGAUAAUUUGAUGUUGUUUGAGGUGUUUUGAUAAUUGGAACAAGUUUGAAUGAGGUUUUAGGAUGUGUUGGUUCUUUUAGUUGAGGUCUCGGGGCCUCAAAUGAGUUUCGGGUGGUCAAUCAGACCAUUUUCUAAGUUGGAUAUUGCACAUUUUUGGAACAGCUGUUGCAGAAGAGUUACUCUUCGCGAUCGCGUAGGGUGAAUCAUGAUCGUGUAGGAGGAAUUUGGAAGGCCAGGAUUUAAACCUUCGCGUUCAUGUUUGAGGGCUCAAGUUCGCGGAAGGUUAGUAGUUUGUGCUUCGCAUUCGCAUGUUUGAGGGCUCCACAUUCGCGUAUAAUGAUUUAAGUCAAUGGAGUUUGUUCUUCGUGUUCACGUGCGGGGGACCGCAUUUACGUAGGUAUAAAAGUCUGAAGCAUCAUAUUCAUGGAGAGUGAGUCGCGUUCGCGUAAGUUUAAUAUUGGGAAAUUUAAAAGUGUGCUUCGCGAUCGCGUGGCUGAGGUCUCAAAACUGGGCAGAAAGCUUUUAAGUUAUUUCAUCCGCAAUUUGGGUCAUUUGUACUCCAUAGUUGAUCAUUUUGAGAGCUUUUUGAAGGUGAUUAAAGAGGGAUUCAAGGAGAGUUGAUUGAGGUAAGAUUUUUGAACAUAAAACGCGAUUCUAUUGUGAAAUCAACCUAGAAAUUCAUGGAACUUAAGCUAAAAAUGGAAGAACUAGGGCUUGGGUUUUCGAACUUUUGAAUUGGGAUUUGAAGGAUCAUUUGAGGUCGGAUUUGAGAAAUUUGGAUAUGUAUGAACUCGUAGAUUGAUAAGGAAUCUAAUGAUGUAAAAAUUUCCGAGUUUCGAGAAGUGGACCCGGGGCUCAGGUUUUGGUAAUGCCCGUUAUUAAUUAUUUUCGCUUGGGCUUUGUUCCCUUAGCAUAUUUUGAUGUAUCGUUAUAAUUUUGGAUAGAUUCGACGCGCAUGGAGACCUAUUUGAGGGUCAACGGUGUCGUGAGCUAGAGAUUUUUCCGGUUCGAGGUGAGUAAUAUUGUAAAGGAUAUUCUGAGGGUUUGAAACCCUGGACUGCACAUCUUAGUGCUAAAUUGAGGUGACUUGCAUGUCGGAUAGCGAGCGUGGAGUAGAGCACCGUUGGGGAUUGUGAUUUGGUCCAUCCUGAUUGAUGAAUUUACGGCGUAUUUGACUAAAACUUACUUGUUAUCAUCAUGAUUUGGGCUGAUUGCCAUAUUUGGGAUUCGUGCCAAUUAGUUGAACCCUUCGGGGAUUUUUAUCACUAUUUCCUCACUGUAUUGACUUAUUACUUGAACUCAGUCAUGCUGUUCUCAAUUAUUUCUCAACUCAGCCCUUUUUACUCAGUUUUGAGACUUAAAUAACAACACCAACAACUACAACAACAACCCAGUAUAAUCCCACCUAGUGAGGUCUGGGGAGGGUAGUGUGUACGCAGACCUUACCUUUACCCUGGGGUAGAGAGGCUGUUUCCAAAUAGACCCCGGCAUCCUUCUCUCGAAGAACUUCCCACCUUGCUCUUUGGGAGACUCGAAC
rnacentral:lncRNA from 1 species